rnacentral:lncRNA from 1 species
UUUUUUGACUAUAUUUACCUAGUGAAUGAGUAAUCUCAAAAUAAACGAUUGAAAUAAAAAUCUCAUAAAAAUAAUAACAAAAGACUUAAAUUUCAAAUCAGAAGUAUUGAUUUUGCUUUUGAUGGUAAGUAAAUCUUUUGUAUUAAAAUUGUACUUAAUUUGAAUUGUUUUAUACCAUUAAACUUACAAACUUGCCACAUCGGUCAUUAAAAAAGUCAUUUGUGAGCCAUUUUGAUUAAUUGGUAAAUGAUGUCGAAAAAUUAUAAAGUCUGGUUUCUAAAUAGUUCUAAUAGUGUGCAUCUUGCCUAAUAAAGGCGAUCGUUGAAUCAGACGUCCCAUUAUUGAAAACAACUUAAAGGUAUAAAAAUCUCUAUAUUUUUUAAAACAUAGUAGAGUAUAUAUAGUCCUAUGGGGAUACUUCUAAUAACACCAAUUACUUUGUGCUAUCAAGUUUUCCACCAUUUUUUUCUCAAAAAAAAAAGUUUUCCACUAUUUGAUUUACCCCUUGACUAAUUUCAUGCACCUCUUAGAUUAUAUUAUUCCACCAACCACCCACUAAAUCUAACCACUAUCAUUCUAACCCUACAAACCUUCAUCCAAAGGUCAAAAAACUAAUAGCACAAUGACUUUGUGCUAUUAAAAUUAUUUCAGCCCAAUUAUAUAUAUAGGUUUUUUUUUUUUUUUUUUUUUUUUAUUGGUNNNNNNNNNNNNNNNNNNNNNNNNNNNNNNNNNNNNNNNNNNNNNNNNNNNNNNNNNNNNNNNNNNNNNNNNNNNNNNNNNNNNNNNNNNNNNNNNNNNNNNNNNNNNNNNNNNNNNNNNNNNNNNNNNNNNNNNNNNNNNNNNNNNNNNNNNNNNNNNNNNNNNNNNNNNNNNNNNNNNNNNNNNNNNNNNNNNNNNNNNNNNNNNNNNNNNNNNNNNNNNNNNNNNNNNNNNNNNNNNNNNNNNNNNNNNNNNNNNNNNNNNNNNNNNNNNNNNNNNNNNNNNNNNNNNNNNNNNNNNNNNNNNNNNNNNNNNNNNNNNNNNNNNNNNNNNNNNNNNNNNNNNNNNNNNNNNNNNNNNNNNNNNNNNNNNNNNNNNNNNNNNNNNNNNNNNNNNNNNNNNNNNNNNNNNNNNNNNNNNNNNNNNNNNNNNNNNNNNNNNNNNNNNNNNNNNNNNNNNNNNNNNNNNNNNNNNNNNNNNNNNNNNNNNNNNNNNNNNNNNNNNNNNNNNNNNNNNNNNNNNNNNNNNNNNNNNNNNNNNNNNNNNNNNNNNNNNNNNNNNNNNNNNNNNNNNNNNNNNNNNNNNNNNNNNNNNNNNNNNNNNNNNNNNNNNNNNNNNNNNNNNNNNNNNNNNNNNNNNNNNNNNNNNNNNNNNNNNNNNNNNNNNNNNNNNNNNNNNNNNNNNNNNNNNNNNNNNNNNNNNNNNNNNNNNNNNNNNNNNNNNNNNNNNNNNNNNNNNNNNNNNNNNNNNNNNNNNNNNNUAUUAUAUAAAUUAUAAUAUAUAUAUAGUAUAUAUUAUAUUAUAUAAUAUAUAUUAUAUAUGUAAUUAUAUAUGACGGUUUUUUUUUUUUUUGAAGAGAUAGCUAGAUACACGCUAGUCUCGUUCGUUUAUUUUAUUUAGUAAAUAAAUAAAUAAGAAACUAGCUGGAUAUAACAGUGUUGAAUCGACUAGGAUUCGAACUUAGAACCUCGGGUACCAACGUCAUCAUAGCGCCUUUGUCGUACUUUUGUGCUAUGGAUUCUGGUCGUCCAAUUAUAAUUAUCUGUAUAUUAGCUUAAAUUGCAGAAAGCUUCACCUGAAAUUAUAUUAAAAAUCUAUAUUUUGUCUACCAUUUAAAUCAUUUUUAGGAAAUAUUUUUAGUGGGUAUGGCGUUAACAUCUUGAAAUAGUAAAUGACGUUAAAUGAUUUAUUCUUUACUUUUCUAUAAUAAAAUUUAAACUUUUUAAUAUAUUUCUGUCAUUUUUAAAUGAUAUUUUUUGGUAUAAAUUUAUAAAAAAAUAAAUAUGGAAUAGUGAUAUGUAACCCUUUGACUUGGAAAAACAUGCGAUGUAAAAUAUAUAAGAUUUUAAAAAUAGAUGAGCGAAUAAUAAAAAAAAAUAAUAUUCACGAAUUUUUUUUUUGUAAAUUUAGCUUUUAUAUAUAUAUUUAUAAUAUAUAUAUAAUUAUAUUAUAUUAAAUGUGAUCAGUGUGAAUUAAUCUUUCAUUUCUAUUUUCUACGUGUUGUGCUACGUAUCCUCUAAUUGAAUUAAGCAGGUUGAUUAAUCUCCUUUUAAUCUUUCCUGUGCUUGUAUCCUCUUGGUUAUUAAUUCUUUUCGGUCCAACCGUUGAGAAUGGUCGUCAACAAAACGCACCCACUCUCUAUUUAACUAUUCACCUGUGCAUUAUCGAUCCUCUACGCUUUUUACUGUUCAUUCCUUUGACUUAUAUUAAUUAAUUUCAUGGUAUUUUAUAAUAAUUAUAUUAAUAAUAGGUUAGUUUUAGUUUCGAGAUUUAUUAAUGUUUUAAUCAGAAGGUAUUCUUGUUGCUUGAUUCGAGUAGUGGCACAGAUAGACAUAAAUUAAUUAAUUUAUCCCUAAUAGUUUUCUUUCUGCGGAGUUAGAAUUGAAGAAUCUCAUUAUACUCUCAUAUCGAUGUUAGCUCCAACUGUCAUCAAUUUAAAAAACUUUAUGUAUUGUUUAAAUUUUAAUUGAUCUUAGUUAAUGCAUUGGCAAAAUUAUAUUUAAGCAUUUAAUUACCCACGCUAUCUAAUAGAAGCUUGUAUUAUUUUCUUCUAGAUUUUUUAAAAUAUGAAAUAAAAGGAUAUAAAUUAAUUGAGUUAUAAUAUAAAUGCAUGGCUAAUGGAAAAGAUUCAUAUAUAUUAUAAUAAUAUAGUAUAUAGUAUAUAAUAUAGAGUCCGGCUGGAUAAUCUAUCGAUUAUCACCAAGGGUUUGGUACUAUCUUCUUGAGUUUUCGCACCGUUAUAUUUAACCCUUUGAUUAUGUUUUUAUCCCGUUGAGACUUAUUAGCUAUUUCAGCCAACACUCUAGCCAACCCGAGAGAGCCAACAUCAUCUAACGUUAUAUUCUCAAUCACAAGGUGUUAAAAAAUUAUCAGUGCACCAAUUAAUCGUGGUGCGAUUGAUAUGUUAAUUUCUAGCCAAUCUAUAUAUAAUGUAACUAGGCUAUCUAUACUAUCGCUCGUGGCUAUCAAUUUUGUUUUUUUCGUAUGAUGUACGGCUUCCAAAUUGCUGAUGGCGGUCUCGUUAAUACUUGACUACACUAAUUAAAUUAUUUAGCAAAUCAAAUUUCAUAAUUUUAUUUCGAUAUCAUGUACCUAUUCAAAAAGUAGUUCUAAAUUGAAUCGGCUGAAAAUUAAAUAAUCCAUAAAAAUGAUGAAAAUCAGAAUUAAAUUCCAAUUGAUCAGAUGAAUACUGGAUUUUAUCUGCUAAAAAUAGUGAAAAAAUUUCUAUAAAAUUUUAUCGCAUUAUGGUAUUGUUUUACAUCUCGGUAAAGUUCACAACACAUCCUACAGUUUGGCCAUCUAUAAAUUAAUCUUAUUUGAGAUAUUGUUUGAUUCUACUUUAGUCAAUAUGAGUUCGAAAAAAUUUGAAAUUUAGUUCCAAUACUUUCAAUUUAGUGUAGAUCAAGUCUAACGGAGCCGAUCGUCGAUUUGGAAGCCGCAUCAUCAAAAACAACUUGGUAGCACGGAGCCCUUCGUGCUACCGAUAGUAUAGUAGCCAGACUCUCUCUCUCUCUCUCUCUCUCUCUCUCUCUCUCUCUCUCUCUCUCUCUCUCUCUCUCUCUCUAUAUAUAUAUAUAUAUAUAUAGAGAGAGAGAGAGAGAGUACUACUUUUGAGCUUUCAAAAGUACGGAAGCCUUCGUAUUUAUAAGUUAUUUUCGAUGAUAAAACAUUCGAUUCGACGAUCGGUUCCAUUAGGUAUAAUCUAUGCUAUUGGUACUAUUUAGAAACCAAAUUUCAUAAAUUUUUGACAUCAUUUAUUAAGUAAUCAAAAGGUCCCAAAAAUGACUAUUCUAACGGUCGAUGUGGCAUGCUUUUAAGUUUAGCAGUGUAGAACAAUCAAAAUUACAUAAAACUUUAAUAGAAAAUUCUACUUAAUAUCAAUAGUAAGAUCAAUUUAAAAAUUGAGUCUUUUAUUAGUCUUUUUUAUGCGAUUUUUAUUUUUAGUCAUUUAUUUUGAAGUUAUUCGUUCACUAGAUAAAUGAAGUUAAAAAAUUAUAAAAUUUAGUUUUUAGAUAGUUCUAAUAUAAUAAAUCAUGUCUAACGGAACCAAUCAUCAAAUCGGAUAUCUCAUCAUCGAAAAUAAUUUACAAGUACGGAGACCUCCCUACUUUCCAAAGUAUAGAAGCCUAGCUUUCUCUCUCUCUCUCUCUAUAUAUAUGUAUGUAUGUAUGUAUGUAUAGUGUAAAGCUAUUAUGCUAUCAAAAGUAUACGAGAGUUGAUGCUUUCGACUUUUUGAUUAUUUGAUCAAGAAUUGUAGGGUCAGGAUGAUAGUGGUACCUCUUAGGAUAGAGUGAUCUCUUCAGAAUAAUAAUAUUAAUCCAAUGGUUAGAGAUGGUCAAAGUGGUUGAUCCAAAGAUCAAAAAAUUGGAAACACCAACUGAUCCCAUAUACUUCCAUAUACUUCCUAAAGCAUAGUAGCUGUACUCUCUUUCUCUCAGGGAAAAAAGAAAAGAAAAUGUAGUUAAUUUGGACCUAGUAAUUUUUAUUUUCUUUAGUAUAUAUAAAUUAAUACGAUAAUUAUAACUAAGACUUUUUUCGAAUCUUUUUUGGAUAACAUCGAUCGUGUUAGAGCCCCACGCGUAAACUCCCAUCACUUUCUUUUCGAAAGUCCUAUGUUCGAUUUCUACACCUAAUUCAUCUUAUCUCUAUCGUGUAAUUAAACAGAGUUUUAUUAAUAUUAUUAUUUGCGUUAACUAUUAUUACUUAAAUCGAUUUUUUUUGGUAGCAGCUAUAACUCAAAUGUUCCACCCAUGCAUGUCCAUAAUUAGCUCAAUUUCCUAUAUAUUAUUUACUGUGGAGAAAAACAUUAAUUCGUAUUUCAUUAAUUCUUGUUCAUUUUGAGGAUACGCAUCAUCAUGCACGUGUGGUAAACAAAAUACUUUUAUUAAGAUUCAUUCAAUUACAUAAGUAAUAUAAAUAAUCAUCCAAAAGUUAUUUCUUUUUUCGAAAAAGAAACUCAUUGUUAUCAGGCGAACCAUACACACGCACAUGUACAUGAAUUACUGAUGAAUUAAUUAUGACAAUAAUAGAAAAGUUCCGUUAUAUUUAAAAGCAAAUUCAUCACUAAAAAAAAAAAAAACGAGAGGAGAAAAUAUUCCACAUUCAAAAGCUUGACUACGUUUUAGAGUUAUAAUCUCAAUUGACUAGGACUUCUAAAACCUAAUCCCUAAAUUUGGCGGGCUAACACUAUUUUAAGCUAGUGUUACUUAGUUGCUUAGCUUGGGAAACUACAUGGAAAUUGCACUAUGGACCAAAGAAAAAAGUAUCACUGGCUAAGAAAUUGACUAUUCUAUUAUUUAUUUCCUAGUCAAUGUAGAAUUGGUAAAAUAAGGCUUAUGCAUAUAUAGCUGAACCUGGGCUUGAAGAUUAAGUUAUCUUGUCACAGAUUAGGUAGGAAGAUAUAUUAGUUAAAUAAAAUUGAUUUUGCACAGAGCCUAAACAUUAAGGGGUCGUUCAGAAGCGGAAAGUGGAGGGCGAUGUAAAAUUUGUGAGUUUCGUAAGCUCGACUUUAUCUCCUAUCCCAUCAAAGUCAAAAGGCAUCUCAGUAUAAUUUAUGAGUUAGAAUUUGGACGAUUUUUUAACUUCUAUGUUGAAAUAAAUGUCCGUACUGAUGAUAUUUUUAUAGUCACAAAUUCAACCUUCAAUGUCGACGAAAAUAAAGAGACCUUAACAGAUCUUAACUUAUUGUUGUUCCUUGCCAAAACAGGACAAAAAAGGUAACCGUACAUUGAAAUUAAUUUACUUCUAUUUAGGAUGAGACACAAUUCAAAACAACUCAAAAUACAUUUGGAUUAUCGGGUUUGGAUCUAAUCUGGCCCGAUCCGACUUGUCUGGCCGACCCAACCCAACUAUUGUGGGUUGUGACUUCCAAAAUAAAGGCCCAAACAUAUUUUGUCCCCUGAUGUUAACUUAUUCGCCGAUAAAGUUUUUUUUUUUUAUGUGAUUGUAAGUUAGGAGUUUAAUUUUAAUUCGAUAACACUUGUAUCUGAUUUGGAGAUAUUUUCGUCCACCAAAUACUCUAAGUUUCUUAAACACUUCUCGUCCACCAAAUACUCUAAGUUUCUAGAUGUAAUAUUAGAUAUCUCAUCAUCGAAAACACUGCAUCUAGAUGUAAUAUUAGAUAUUUAAUCACUUCUCGUCCACCAAAUACUCUAAGUUUCUUAAGUUUUUUUUUUUUUUUUUUUUUUUUUUGAGUGAGAAACAUAAUAAACUACGUGCUGAUUUUUUUUUUUAAUAUACUCAACUAAAAAUAUGAAACAACUAAACUUGGAAGUUGAAAUUUAGGAUACUACCUAGUAAGCUCUUAGCCAACUACACAAAGGACGUCAGUUUCUUGAGUAAAAAUUAUUAUUUGCUUCUGAUUCAUCUAUUUGAUCAUUUUUACCAUUUCGUCAACUUUUAAUUCUCAUGCAGAUAUACAAAUGCAUUGCAAGUAGAUAAUUACUCGGUCUUUGAUUAAAAAUAGACAAAAACAUAUAAAAGUUAUCUGAACUAUGAAUCGUUUUGAGUCGACUAUCCAAUUUUUUAAAAUUUUGAUUUUAUUAUUCAACCUUUCAAUUUGUUUUAUUUGAAUCAGCCGAUAAUAGCUUAACUUCAAAAUUUAAUUGCAUUGUUUAUCUUUACAUCUUAGUUAGCAUUACUUUAUGCAAUUCUCACAGCUAUUGAUCCAUAGUUCAAAUAAAUUUCAUAUGUUUUUACCUUUAAAAAAAUAUGCAUAACAACUAAAAUGAAACCCUUAAUUAGGGAAAAAAAAAAUUAAUUGUUUCUAUAUCAAUGGAUGGAAUAGUUUCACUCUAAACAAUCAUAAUUUGAAAAAUAAAAAAGUUAUAUUUUAAAGCUUCAUAAGAUUAUAUACAAGAUAUGUAAUUAGUACUUUCGAUUAAAAAGAGAAAUUUAAUAAACUAUUCAAUAAAUUUAAAGAAUCUAAUUAUAAAAUUCAAAAGUUUAAGAAUCAAUUUACAAAAGUGCUAAAUUUUAGGAAGUUUAUUUUUUUAUACUGUUUUGAAAAUUUUUAAAGUUUUAAUUAUUAUUAAAUUUAAAUUUUUUUUUUUUUUAAUUCGCGCACAACUAUCUGAGACUCUUCUUCUUCCUCCUCCUCCUCCAUUCCCAUCUCAAGCAUGCACUAGAAUCCGAGCUCCGAAAUGCUCAGUAAUGGUGACGCGCCUACUCGCGUUCCCCCUCAAACCCUACUCUCCUCCUCCUCCUCCUCCUCCUCUGCCUACUCCCCCCUUUCCCUUCUCUCAGAGAUUCAAAAUCCCAUUUUCCUCCUCCCCGAGAUCCCAAUUACGCAAAUUCGCGGCGUACUCACAUGCCGAAUCUGCUGCAGAAUCGAAGUUUGAUGUCGAAUUUUCGAGAGAAUCGGAAAAGGAGGAGCUUUCCUGGGACCAAUUCAACUCCUUGAUCCAAGUCCACUGCUCGAAAGGCCACCUCGACGAGCCCUUGGAUCUCCUCGCCCGCAUGGAGGCGCUGGGCAUGCGCCCCGACCCCUCCUCCUACGCCUGCCUCAUCGACGCCCUCGGCCGCGUCGGCCGCACCCUCGAAGCCGACGCCAUCUUCCAGGAGAUGCGGCGCUUCGGCCUCCGCCCCGGCCCGGCGCACUACAAUUCGCUCCUCGGAGCGUUCCUGCGGAAGGGGCAACUGCACCUCGCCGACCACCUGCUUGUGGAAAUGCACGAGAGAGGCGUCGCAAGGAAGAGAGAGACCUUCUUGCUGCUCCUCGAUUCCUACGCGCACGCUGGGAGGCUAGAGGACAGUUGGUGGGUCCUUGCGGAGAUGAAGCGGCGGGGAAUUCGAUUGGAUACCUAUGUUUACAGCAAGGUGCUUGCGCUGUACAGGGAUAACGGCAUGUGGAAGAAGGCGAUGGCGCUCGUGAUGGAGAUGCAGGAGCUGGGGAUCAAGCCGGAUAGAAGGAUUUACAAUGGGAUGAUCGACACGUUUGGGAAAUACGGUCGGUUGGACGAUGUGGUGAAGGUGUUCGAUAAAAUGCUUGGGAGAGGGUUGAGGCCGGAUAUUGUGACUUGGAAUGCUUUGAUAAGGUGGCAUUGUAGGGCCGGGGACCUCAAGAAGGCGUUAGGGUUUUUUGCGAAGAUGCAGGAAGAGGGGUUGUACCCGGAUCCGAAGAUUUUUAUUACAAUUAUUAGCCGGUUGGGGGAGGAGGGAAAGUGGGGUGAGAUCAAGAGACUGUUUGAGGGGAUGAAACUUAAAGGUCUUAGGAAAAGUGGGGUCAUUUAUGCAAUCUUAGUUGAUAUUUACGGGCAGUAUGGGCAGUUUAGGGAUGCCGAGGAUUGUGUAGCUGCUCUUAAGGCGGAAGGUCUCCAGCUUUCGGCCAGCGUCUUUUGUGUACUCGCAAAUGCUUAUGCUCAGCAAGUAAGUUUAUGUGGUCAGCAAGUGAAUGAGAUUGGUAUUUCUGCUUAUGAGGUGGUUGUGAUAUCGAUAAUAGUAGAUUUUUUUAUACUUGAAAACAGUAUAGUUUGCUUUAGACCAGAGAAGUAGCAUUGUCGUUCGUUAUUAGCUAACAUCUUCAUUAGAUUGGAAAAAGCCCUUUCAUUUUCUUUGGAUGGUAAUAUAACUCCCUAAAAAGGUUAUCCGUAAAUAAGCUUAGAAUAAGUAACUUAUUCUAAGAAGAAAGGGUUAAGAUUAGUAAAGGCUAGUAGUUUUAAGCAUUAAACUAGACAAAUUUGUUGUCUAUGCAAUGUGUAGUUUUGAUAUAUUGGUUUUUUUGUGUAGCUCCCUAGAUAAGUUUAGCUCGCCGAAGUAGAGCCCUUAUCAGUCCAAGCAUUUAGGCCAAGGUUAGCUCAAACUGGAUUGAAUCUUUUGAUCAAAAAAAUUUUCACCAGAGAAUCAAGUAAUCCUGGCUCUUUUUUAUGUUGAGCAGUAUUUGAAUCAACGGUUAACUGUUAACUCCACUUAUCAGCCCGAUUGGAGCAGUAGUCAUCUUGGUCUUGAUCUUUAUUAAUUUCCGGGCAGCUUUUAGCCUUACUUCUGUACAUGUUCUCUGAUGCAUUAUGCCUCUGCCUUUUCGUCUCUACUCUUCUAUGCUUCUGUUGUAUUCUUUUACUUUGAAGACAACAUAACAUCUGGUAACUCGGUUUCAGGGUUUGUGUGAGCAAACAGUAAAAGUAUUUAGAUUAAUGGAGGAAGAAGGUAUUGAACCAAACCUUAUAAUGCUCAAUUUGUUAAUCAAUGCGUUCGGUAUUGCUGGAAGGCAUUUAGAGGCAGUAGCAGUAUUUGAACAUAUCAAGGACAGUGUAAGUAGCAUCUCUGGUAGGAAAACGAAUUGCUGUAUCUGUUUUUCUCUUAGAAUUUUUGUUUACUUACUAUCAACUCAAAUUUUAUCUGCCUCAUUACUACUUACAGGGUAUCAGUCCAGAUGUGGUUACGUACAGUACUCUCAUGAAAGCAUUCAUGAGAGCAAGACAAUAUGAAAAGGUUCUCUUCCUUUACUGCAUCAACUAACUUGUUUGUCGUAAAUCUAGAUUAGAUUAAUCAUUCUCUUGGGUUCUGUGACUUCUGUCAAUUUGCGACAGAUACAUCUUUCUCCAUGUAUAUGCAUUUAGAUUACAAUUUAAAAAGAUUUUUGUGCUUUACAUAUAGAUAAUUUAGUAAAUAGAAAUAGUGGUGGGAACUUUUAUAUAAGCCUUGAUCUUUGUUGACCUUUAUUACGCUUUGAUAUGGUUGAAUUGGUUAUAUUGGGAACUUACAUUAAAAAUGUGAGGACUUACAUUCUUCUUUUUUUCUUUGGUGUGGGCUUGAUCAGGUCUUAGGAAUAUACAAGGAAAUGGAGAGUGCUGGAUGUACCCCAGACAGAAAAGCUAGGGAGAUUCUGCAGAAUGCCUCAAUCAUACUACAACAACGAGGAUGUAAGUGCUUCAUAUGCUGUCUUGUUUUUCUGCUCGCGGGGAUCCGGUCAUUUAGCUUUACUGUUGUUUUCAUCACAGGCAGUUUAGUUGGUUGAAGUUCGAAACCUCUUCAGAUUCUGAGGCAUUACAAUGUUUUUCCAAAUAACAAGACAGGUAAGCGCCAUCUUUUUCUGCUUUAUCAUAGACGUGCUUCGUGAUGGAUAAUCCUUCCCAGGAAAAUACACUUAACAUAUCAAGAGUUUGUCUUUGUGCAUCUUAUAUUUUAUAUCCGCUAGGGCAUUCCUUUGGUGCAACAAUUGUUCCACUGCUUCUCAUUCUAGUUCUCUAAAAUUUUAUAACGUGUAUUCAGCGAUCUUUCAUCUGUCUUACUUUAUAAGUGCUCCUCUUACCCGGACUCCUUUUCUAAAUGAGAUAAUUAACAGUCCUUAGCUUUGCGGUGACAGAAAUUGGAAGCAAUUAAACACUUUCCGAGCAAAGCAACCUCCAAUUCUGCAAAGAAAGGAUCCCAAUUGAUGUGGUAGUUAAUCCGCGGAGUUAUCAGAUGUUACAAACUGCAUAACAUCAUUAAAAUUUCUGGAAAAGUAUGAGUGGUUCUGCGAAUGUUUGAGAAGGUAUACUAAGUAGUAUGAUACUUUAGCAUCUUUCUUAGCUGAUUUUAUGUCGUAUUCGAGUUCUGUAACGUGCUUCCUAUGUCUUACUCGUUCUUGUAUUUUGUGCUUCUUUUUUCUUCAGGAACUAUUUGGCACCUGCUUUGGGGAAUACAAAUAUUUGUGAACAAGAAAUAGGAAAAAUAGCAUGCAGAGCCUUAUAUAAAGAGGAGGAAUAUGCGAAACGCGAUUCCUGGUUCGCUAGAAGCUUAUAUGGAGGAACAUAAAAUUGAAUGUAAAAUCGUGGAAGUUUUGAGAUAAUUUCUAUAACUUUUUCUGAUGUUUAUAUGUAAUAAUGUGUCUUAAGUUUAUGCUGAGGGUUGUUCCUCGUAAAGAGUAUGCAUUGUGCGAUAAUUUCAGCAUCUGUGCUCCUAUUGUUAGCAUUUGUAAAACUUUGGUUAUCUUGUGUUGAAGAUGGGCCUGAUUGGAUUAGUUUAUUCGGAUUGUAUGAGAUUAUACGGAAUCAAAAAGUUGUUGAGAAAAUGGAGUAAGGUUUUAAAAGUUCGGCAAACGAGUCAAAUACGAGCUAAAUUUUUCAGCUCGUUUAAUAAACGAGUCGAACACGAGCUGGGAUGAACUCACUCGUGUUUGGCUCGAUAACAGCUUGACUAUAUAUAUUUUACAUUUAUAUAUGUAAAUAAAAUAAUUAGUUUUUAGCUUAAUUUAAAUAUAAAGCCCAACUUAAUUAUAAAAAGUUUAUUUAUAUGUAAAGUUUUAACUAUUAGAUCAAAGUGAAAUAGGUAAGAUUUUAUAAAUUUAUUUUCUAUAUGUAUCUUUUAUAAUUUUUUUAACUUGUUGUUCAUGAGCCAGCUCCUGUUCGACGUGAUACUUUAACAAGCCAAUUCGUGUUCGGUUUGUUUAUGAAAUGAGUCGGCCUCAACUCGCUCGUGUUCGGCUUGUUGACACCCCUAGUCCCCCCACAACGUCUCACACCCAUAUAAUACCCAAUCUCCCUCUCAUUCUCUCUCUACCACUCUUUUUUAUUAGGAUUAUGCUACUUUUCCCUCCAAUUCAAACCUCCCUCUCUUUUACCUCCUCAUCUAUGAAGAACACGGCAUUCUCUCCUCCUCCACCGCCGACUUCUCUCUACCCCACCCCUCACCACCAUCACCACCACCUCCUCCUCCUCUUCCCUCAACCCCCUUCAAUCCCCCACCACCUCUUCCUCAAAACCUACAAUCCCCACCCUCUCCGCCACCGCUCACCCCGUCCCCUCUCCGCCGCCUCCGACAAGGUAUAGCCGUCGAAACUUUGUAAUCCGAACUCUCAUAUGCAUAAUUCUCUCUCCUCCUUAUUCUUCAUUAGGCCUCAGAGCUCCAUCAAUGGGAUUCGAUGACUGCGCGCUUCGCCGCCGCCUCCAACGUCCCCUUCCUCCUCAUCCAGCUCCCGCAGAUCCUGCUCAAUGCCCGCAACCUCCUGUCCGGCAACCGCGCCGCCCUCCUCGCCGUCCCCUGGCUUGUAAAUCCCCCUCCCGAAUCCAACUCAAGCGCUUUCUCGAAAAGCUGCUGAAUUUGUUGCUGCUGCUGCUGCUGCAGGGGAUGCUCACAGGGCUUCUGGGGAACCUGACCCUGCUCUCCUACUUUGCGAAGAAGAGGGAGAGCGAGGCUAUCGUCGUCCAGACGCUCGGCGUCGUCUCCAUCUUCGUGGUCUUGGCACAGUUAGCCGCAGCAGGGGCCAUGGCGCGGCCCGUCUUCUCGGCGAUCUCCGCGGUCGUGUUACUCGGCCUCGUGCUGAAUUUCAUGAACUAUUUCGGUAGGCUCGAUUCCGGGCUCUGGCUACUCUGGGAGGACUUCAUCACUGUCUCGGGCUUAUCCGUGCUCCCGCAGGUCGGCUUUAUCCUCUUUCGGAUUGGAUUGGUUGGAAAGGUUGUGUUUUUAUUGCGUGAUCGAAAAAUUGCAGGUAAUGUGGUCGACGUUUGUUCCCAGUAUCCCGAAUAGUAUAUUGCCGGGGAUCGUAUCUUGUACCGUUGGAGUUGCGGUUGUCGCCAUGGUAGGUCUUUUAUACCAUACCAACUAGUUAUCUUAGCUACUGAUUUGGGCAAAAAGAGAAAUGUUUUGAUGUUUUUCGCAUUCGGUAAUUACAUGCGUAAGAGCCACUGUAACCAGGUUUAAUACUAUGAUAAGCACUUUUAUUAUCCUUUCCGACAUAUUCGUGUUCAUCUGUAGUGCGGAAUUUUAAGGAUUUUCCAAUGUCUUUUUGUUUCGGUUCCAUUAUAUUGCUUCUUGUCGAGCCUAUAGCGACAAAUGAAUUCGAAAUCAUCAUAACAAGUUGACCUCGAACUGCAUUUCUAGAUCUCAUUUACGAAGUUUAAUGUGGUUCUUCUUCUUCUUUAGCGCUGUUUAUCUGUACUGUCGAACAUCUCUACGUGUCUGUCGAAAAUUUCUGAUUUUGCAGGCACGGAUAGGUAAACUUCCCGAGGAUUGGGUGAAGUUUGUCAGGUCGAUAUCUGGCUGGACCGCCACAUUACUGUUCAUGUGGAUGCCUAUUGCGCAGAUGGUGCGAAACUGAUUCGCUUCGAUUCAUUAAACUCUGUAAAUCAUGGUUCUGAAACAUUGCUGUAAUAACCGAGCUGUGUUAUCAUGGACAGUGGACAACCUAUCUCAAUCCGGACAACAUCAAGGGCUUAUCGGCUCUUACAAUACUGCUCGGCAUGAUCGGGAACGCUCUCAUGAUCCCGCGUGCUCUAUUCAUCCGUGAUCUUAUGUGGUAUGUUGGGUCACCCGAAGAAUGUAAUCUUUUUUGAAGUUAGCUUGAUUUAUUUUCAUUUCCUGUUUCAACUGGGAACGAAGUAUCGGACAUUCGCGCCUUUUUCAGGUGCCUAAUGUCAAAAGAUUUAUGCAUUCUUCGUCUCUGCAGGUUCACAGGUGCAUCUUGGGCAUCAAUCCUUCAUGGUUGGGGAAAUUUGGCCUGCAUGUAUUUGUUAGUUCUCUUGGAUUAAAAAAAAACUCUUUUUCGGAUCUAUAUUUUCUUCAACAAAGUUUGGCAUUCCUUUUUCUGAACUUACUGCUUCUGUUCUCACAGUUUCGACAGUAUAAGCAGCGCCUUUUUCUUCCCAGCAACACUCAGCUUAUUCUUAUGGAUAGGUAUUCCUCUUUACAUUAGUUUUCGGUUGCAGUUUUAUAAUGAUCACUCAGAUUAUCUAUCACAAUUACUCGAAUGAAGAGCACAUUUGUCAUUGUAAAUCCAGUUGUAUGAUCCCUGUUACAGCUUAUGGAUUUCGAAAAACCUACUUUUAGGUACUGAUGAAAGAGUAAAAUGUGCUGACACUCUAAAUUUGGUUGAAGAUAAAUAGAAGAUGCUGCAAAACAUUUGUUAUGGUUGUGGUUUUUGCUUUAGCGACGUAAUUAGCAUUCUGUCUCUCAAUCAGGAGCUGCUCUCUGGAGAGAUACCGCAGUCUACGGAUACAAUACACCAUUGAAAUCCUUAAGAGAACUUGCUUUCGGACGAUGACGAGCAAGAAAUUUUCACGGUAAUAAUUCUUUGUAUAUGAAUCUCCUAUUGCCACAAUCGUUUCUCUGCUGUCGACCAAUUUAACUAUUCUUUGGCAUGCUGACAGGCAAACUAUCCUUUCCGAUUCAAUUGUGAAACCUCCAUGAGCUGUAAAUAGUUCUGCUGAUUGCUGGCUCUGAAGGUAUUCCAUCAGAUACAGGCCAUUUCCUUCAUAAGCAUCACUUUAUGUUCGAUAGAUUCUUACGGUGCGACGGCGUCUACUUCCAUUAAUUUAGUUGGUAUCUCAUAGACUUACAUGCGACCAUAGGCUUUAAAACUAGAAUACAUAUGUUCAAGCAUUAGCAGAUCAUUCACCAACUGACAAUUUGGCAAAAAAGUAAAAAACAGAACAGCGAAUAGUAGUAGAGAAGAUAUUAGUUUUUAACCGGCAAACUCUUUUGUACCAAUACUUAGGCCAAACAUUACUUGCAGUUUCCUCGAUAGAUACCGCUUCUUAUAUGCUCUUCGGGAUGAUUAUUAUCCUUUUUUAUACUCAUAGUUCGGUCUAUACAUGAUUGAAUGCACCGUUUCUCGGUAUUUCAUUCAUAUUCCAUGUUAAUUACCAUCUCUACUACUUGUGCUUUCAGGUAAUUGUGUACAGGUAAACCCCAGUGGCUGAUACGCAGUUUAAUUGUAGCAAGAACUUGAAGAUACUUAGCAGGAGCUAAUGAAAUAUUUCUACAGAACAUGUUUCUCUGGCAUUGUUCAACAAUGCAAAGUUCCUUCCUUCAGAAAGAAAAGCAAAUGUUCCAAAUUCUUGAUGAGUAGGAGAGUACCUUUUUUUUAAUUCUUCUUGCUGCAAUUUUUUUAGGCUGCGUGUUUAAUAAUCAGCAAUGGAAUUGUACAGUACUGCAGAAAUAUGAUCUACUCUUUAGUAACUUUACCAUGGUUUCUGCCAUGUUUGUCGUUCUUAAAUUGUGUUGCUAAAAACAAGAGCAAGACCAAUAUUUUGCAAGUGACCGAGUAAAUAGCAAAUCACAAAAAACAAGAUAAAUAUUACGACUAUGAUCGGAUAUCAAACUUUAAGUUCUUCGUGCUAUUCUUAUUCUUUCAUGCAGUGGUAUGAGAAGCCUGUGAUCUGCCACUCAACAUCUUUGUACAUUAGACUUGAAGAUAUGAUAAAUUUCAGAUGAUGCAAUUGAAUUAGAGGCAAGCUCAUUGUCUAUUGCUUGUUCAGAUAAACAAAUGGUGAGAAGAUGAGAGGUGGUUUCCAUUCCAGCAGCAGAUAAGGAUUAAACUUGUGGUGGUGAAGAAAGGGAUCUUUGAAUGGAUGAUUACACCAGAAAUGUCAGAUAUCUCACAGUCACAGGAACUUAUUCGACGGCAACAGUAUAAACUACUCUUCACAUCAGAUUUUUCCUCCUCUUUUGUUUCAGGUUUUCUAUCACUAGAGUUGAGAUGGUACCACAAAAUGUUCAAAUUUGCUAAUUUAAAGGCUCCCAGAUGCUAGCCCCCUACAUCCAACAAAAGAGAAGAGGAGGCAAUAAUUUAAAUUCUUGUACACUACAUGAUGGCUUCUACUUCCCAUUUAAAGCUACUACAAAAACACAACAUUUCAUCAUCACAAAUUACAAGAAGCAAAAUAUAUAACAACAAGAUGUAGCAUAAUUAGCAACAUUGCUGUAAAUAUUCAUUCACAAUAUAUAGAUUCAUCAGACACAUUCUUGCAUCUCAUUUCAAGGAAAAAGUAACAAAAUUCACAUCUUUGUAUGUGAGACAAUUACUAUAUAGCCUUAAGAAAACAAGAAAGAAUUUUUAGGGAAAAGAAAAAUGAAAACCUGGAGUUGAUUAUAUCUUGCGAAAUUGUUGCUGAAUCCAAUCCAAGACAACUACUUGAACAGCUCUUCUUCAUCUUCAUCACUCAGCAGCUCAUCAUCAUCAUCAUCAUCAUCAAUGGCGAAGGUGCUCAUCCUCGCCGACGCCUGCUUCGCCAGGCGCACAAUCUUCGCAGCCUCGCUCCGCGCCUUCGCCUGCUCCUGCAGCGCCUUCUUCAGCUUCCGCCUCUGCUCCUUCAAUUCUGCGACGAUCCUGUCGUUGCUCUCCCAAUCCCCAAUCCCCAAAUCCCCCGUCCCUUUGCCGCCGCCGCCGCCGCCGCUCCUCUGCGACGACGCCGCCGACUUCUUGGGCGAGAACGCGAAGCAGCACAUCGAUGUGUGGCGCCGUGAUGGCGAGGGGGAGAGGGAAGGGGAGGCUCCGCCUCUCCGCGAGCUCCGCAGCGUGAUCGGAGGGGGCGGAGAGAGCCCGGAUGGGGAAUUUGGCUUCGAACUCUUCCCUGCGACAACAGUAGGAUCUGUCCCCGUAGAAGUCGACGUCUUGGGCUCAACUGGCUAGGGGGUGCUGCGGCGCUCCUGGUUCGAUGGAGGGGCGACGGUGAGCCAUUGUUGGCGACGAGGAAGGAUUUGAGGGCACGGAAGCGGGGCUCGAGGUGGGAGAGGAGGAGGGCAGAGUNCGGCGGCGCGCCAUUGUGGGCGGCGGGGAAGGAUUUGAGGGAGCGGAAGCGGGACUCGAGGUGGGAGGGGAGGAGGGCGGAGUCGCGGGGGAGGUGGGCGGUGUUGAGCGCGGCGAUAUGCUCGAGGGCGCAGAGGUCCAUGGCCUCGGCGAUAAUGGCGUCCACUGCGGCCGAGGUACCGCCGCUCGCCGGAGGAGAUGGGAGGUGGGAGAAGGGGGAGGAGGAAGAGGACGACGCCAUUGAUGGGGACGGGUGCGGAGGGGGAGGGGUUUAGGGUUUGUUGAGAAUUUAAUGUGGGGACGAAGAAAAGGAAAGAAGGGAAGUGACGAGAAUUAGAAAGUGUUUUUGGUGUGUAAGAGAGAAACGAACGGCUACAAAGGGAGGGGAAAUAUACUAAUAUUGUAAUAAUACCUGCUACGGGUACGCAAAAAUGUUGCUUGAAAUAUUUAGUUUGGUAUAUAUUUUUAAUUUACUUAAAAAAAAAUUUGUAGCAUGUUCAACGACACAGAAUAUAAUCAAUCGUAUAAAAUAUCAUAUCAUAUCGAAUUUUCAAGUUAUCUUUUCAAAUAUAUAUACUAUUAUUUUAUUAAAUUAUGAAUGUGAGAAAACCAUAUAUUAUAUUUUGGUCUCUAAUCUUUUAUAAUUUGAUUUAGUUUGGCCCCAAUCAUCCAAAUUCUUGUUGUUUUCAAUUGAAUAUAGGCUAUAACUUCAGUAAAGUCCUACCAACUCAUAUUAAUUAUGGCUAUGAUCUCUCACGGUGAUCCUGACAUCACCUUUUUUAAAGUUUUUGAAAGAACAUACUGAUACAUUUAAUUCUGUGCCAGAAAAAUCAACGUCGGAUUAUUGAUGCUAACUAUUAAUUUCAAAAGCUCGAGUUAUUCAAAAGAAACAGUCAAUUCAUUUAAGAGUGUACAAUAUAUCGUCCACAAAUUUUGAUUUGAAAGUCGACCUACUUCGACCUCGGCCAGAUAACCCACAUGCCUUCUGACUCUAUCCAACUCGGCCUUCACCUCCUGUACAAAUUUGUAGCAUGCGGAAAUAAAAUUCGUGAGCUGCUUUGAUACUAUUUGUUGAAUAUUUAGCAUUAAUCAUGCAGCAAUUCACUUAAAUUGUACAAACAUAGUGGCCAUAAAUCUCGAUUUAUAAUUUGACCGACUCCAGCCUCACUCCAGACUAAGUCGCGUGGCUCGCAGGCUUUUCGUUAGGACUCUGCCCAACUCGGCCUCCCUCCACAUGACAUAAUAUUAGCCUCGCUAAGUUAACUGUCAGAUGGUUUAGAGAACCGUAGGUGCGGAGGACGAGAUUAGAGUAUGGUCCAAACUCCAAACUAGGUUUGAUGAGAAGAGGCUAAUUAUAAGAAUCCACAAAGCGCAAAAGAAGGGAAAAGGGUGGUGGUAAUGGUGCAAUUAAUUCAGUAGGUUAUAACUAAACUUUAAUUAUAAGCACAACAUUCUUGGUACGCGCAGCAGUACUACAACUAACAUCUAUAAUAACAAUAAAUUAAUAUUUAAUGCGGCUUCGCCAGGGGCUUUGCUAUUGGCUGCUCUUUUGACCGUUGGAGUAGAGAGAGAGAGAGAGAGUAAGAAGAUGCUCUCUCUCUCUCUCUCUCUCUCUCUCUCUCUUUCUCUCUCGUCCUUUCUCGCACACCAACUCGUGUUUUUCACAAAAAGAGGGAAAAAAGAAAACAGACACGCUCCGCUGCGUUGUUUGUUGGCUUCGUACGGCGAAGGGUGCGCGCGUAGUAAAUUGAAAUUGAUGUCACGCCACACGCCGACACUUCAGAGGGAAGCUUUUUAUGCCACCUGAACAAUCGCUUUAACGGUCGGGACGUGCCCUGUCAUUAGUCUUCUUCUAACGAGCUGUUUUCAUAAUUUUUUUUAUUUUUAUUUUUAUUUUUAUUUUUUUUUUUUUCCAUUCUNNNNNNNNNNNNNNNNNNNNNNNNUUAUUAAUAUAUAUAUAUAAUUAGGCUGAAAUAUUAUUAAUAACACAAAGCUAUUUAUGCUAUUAAGUUUUCGCCCUUUAGAUGAAUAAAUAUACAUUUAGGAUGAUGUAGGCUCCUUAAGGAGUUAAGGUUGAGUAAGUUAUUGAUUUAAUAGUAUAAUUUAACGGGUAAAAAUAGUCAAAGGAUUAAAUCUAACGUCGGAAAACUUGAUAACACCAAAUGCUUUGUACUAUCGAUAGUAUCUUAGCCGGACUCUAUAUAUAUAGGAAAAACUUCAAAUACCCCCCUUGUGGUUUUUUUCACUUUAGUACCCUAUGGUUUAAUGUGUAUCAAGUUAGUAUUCUGUGGUUUUGUACUUUUUCACUUUAGUACCCUGUGAUUUAAAGUAUAUCAAGUUAGUACCCUGUGGUUUCGCACUUAUCACUUUAGUACCCUGUGGUUUCGCACUUUAUCACUUUAGUACCAUGUGCUUUAAAAACCACAGAGUACUAACUUGAUACAAAAAAAAAACCACAGGGUACUAACUUGAUACAAAAAUAAAACCAAAGAGUACUAACUUGAUACACUUUAAACAACAGGGUACUAAAGUGAUAAAGUGAGAAAUCACAGAGUACUAACUUAACACACUUUAAAUCACAGGGUACUAAAAUAAAAAAGUAUGAAACCAUAGGGGGUUUUUGAAGUUUUCACAUAUAUAUAUAUAGAGAGAGAGAGAGAGAGAGAGAGAGAGAGAGAGAGAGCGCCAAGCAUAAUACUUUCGAAAAUAUAAAGAAGUUGAUACUUUCAAGUUUUUAACCCUUUCAUCAAUUUUUUUAAUUAUUUAUAAUUUUUGAAUUAAUAUUAUACUCACAUAAGGACUACUAAAUUUUAUGGGAAUCUCUCAAACCUAGAAGGGAUCACUAUUAUCUCAAUCGUAUAGUUGUUGAUCUAAGGACUAAAAAAUUAAAAGCUCCAACUUUUAUAUACUUCUGAAAGUAUAAUAACUCCACUCUCUCUCUCUCUCUCUCUCUCUCUCUCUCUAUAUAUAUAUAUAUAUAUGACACAACAAAUGAAGGCAUAUGUUUUUUAUGUCGCACUUGCACCACAUCACUCAUAUCACAAGCCAAUUAAAUCUUUUCUUCCCAAGGAAAAAUAUAAUAAUUUUUUUUAAAAAAAAAUUGUGGUAGAAUGGGCGAAUCCUAGGGACAUAAUUUGAUUGAUUCCAAACAUAGAUAACAUGGUGCAAUUGCAACAUCCUAAACUUUUUCUUAGGAGCGUAAUUUGAUUAGUUGGGAACACAAUAAUGUGGUGCUAUUGCCACAUUUCAGAUAUUUUCCUCAGAAAAAAGUUGCAACUAAAAAAAUGAUUCUAACAGGACUCGGAAUUAGAAUUUCCUAUUGUCAUUAUUCGAUAGCUUAAGCUACUAAAGAACUAUAUAUGUUUUUAACACUAAGUUCCAUUGCUACACUCUUAUAAGUAUGAUCGCCUCCGUAAAUAUAAGUCAUUUUCGAUGAUAGAGUUUUCGAAUCAACGCUCCGUAUCGUUAAAUAUUAUCUAAAUCAUUUAAAACUUUUAAAAACUAAAUUUCAUAAUUCUUCGAUAUUAUUUACCUUACAAUCAAAAGAUAUAAAAGUUGACAAUUUUUAAUAGCCAGCAUAGAAUAGUUGCUAGUUUAACGAUAUAAAAGAAUCAAAAUCGAUUGAAUUUUUGAUAGAAAAUUUUAUUCACUAUCUAGAUAAAGAAGAAUAAAUCCAAUCUUAAAUAAAAGAAUCCGAUUUUUUAAUUUUAGGAGGUCGUUUGAUUUCGACCGUGUAUUUUAUACCCACCUGAUAGAUUUUAUUAUAAUUUUAAAAAGAGUAAUGCUUCUAUAUUUUUUUUUUUCGUUACCGUUCAUUCACUCUCAUUGAACGAUUCAUAUUUAAUUUUUUAAAAAUUGUGACCUGCAAUAGCAGGUUACUUUGGGAGUGGUACCAAUUACGACUUACGAGGUACCUAAAAAAAGAAUAUUUUUGUCUUUUAACACCUGAGUAAUUUAGUAAUUUUAUCUCUACUAUAUUGUCAAAACUUUUAUUCUCUCUUUGUUUCUUUUUUCUCUCUCUAUCUUUCCUCUCAUAUUUUGGCAUUUCAUAUAAGAAAAGUUUCAAAUUAUUUGACAACAAGAACAUGAGAUUGUUUUGCAGACCAACUAUGGAUUUUGUCUAUACUCAUCUUGAAUUCGACCCGAAUCAUAUAUAAAGUUUAAUAUUAUAUUCAAAUUUAUAUUUUAAAAUUUUAAAUUUAAUAUAAAAUAUUUUGAAAUAUGGUAAAGAGAAAUAAUUGUUUUGGGUUCUGGUUUUCGGAUUUGGGUUUGCUCUUGGGUUCCGGAAAAUUUGUAGUUUUUUGCGAUUGUUAGUUGGGCUCAAAUUCAAAUUUCUAACCAUUUUUUUUUUCUGAACAGUAAUCCAAAUCUUUUUAAUUUUUAUGUUUAAAAUUAUGUUUAAAAUAUUUAUUAGUUCUAACAGUUAAAAUGUCAUUCGGUUUAAAAUGUUUAUUAUCUUUAACGGUUAUAGAUUGUUCUUCUUAUUCAGUUUAAUAGGUUGAAAUCAGAUUUUUGAUAGAGUAGUUUAAAGUCUGAUUGGUCGAAUCAAUCGAUUCAAUCUGAUUUUUAAAUCAUUUAUACUAAUUUAAUUAAAAUGAAUAAUAAAUGUUAUGAAGCUAAUUGUAAACCAAAAGGUAAUAGACUAAAAUUUAAAAUCAAUUUAAUAAAUUAAAUUAAUUGGACUGAUCAAAUUGAUAAAAUAUACAAAUAGCCUAGAUUUGUUCAAGAUAAAUUUAUUUAAUUUAUCGAUAUUUCUAAUUUUGUUUACUCUAGUAAAAUUCUAUGGUGGAGAUUUAUUAUAAGCUUAAAAUUUAAAUUAUACAGUCUAAAUUUAUUUAUUGGUAAUUUUAAAUUGCACUACACUAUUUAAAUUUAUUGGAGGUUUUUAUUUACUUUUUAGGUUCUAAACUUUAAAUUUUAUUUGUUUUCAGAUUAUAUUUUAAAUUACAAUACAUGAUCUUAUUAUUUUAAAAGAUCAAUUUUUACUAUUAAAAUUUGAAUUAAUUUUGUCCAUACAAAUCUAUUCUAAGAAUAAAUUUGAAUUAUACCCUAUAUUUCUAAUCAAUUAUCCACAUUAAAUUAUUUAAAUAGUGAUAAAGAAUUAAUAUAUAAAUUGGAAAAAUUCUUAAACUUUUUUAAACAUAUUAAAUGUGUUGAAUUUAAAUAUUUGCCCAUAUUUAAUUUUUUAAAAUUAGUGAUACAAAAUUAAUGUCUAAGAUGGAUUUAUAAUUUUGUUAAACAUAUUAAAUAUGUUAAAUUUAAAUAUUUAUCAACAUAAAUUUUUUUUAAAUAGUGAUACAAAAUUAAUAUCUAAAGUAGAACAAUUCCAAUUUUUUUAACAUAUUGAUUACAAAUUUUUUAAAUAGUAAUACAAAAUUCCUCUUAACUUAAAUUUCAAUUUUUUAAUUUUAAAUAUUUAGUAUUUAAUAUUUAAAUUCAAUGUAUUUAGAAAUAGAACUAUUUCUAAAAUUCCUAUAAUUUAAAUUAAUGCCUAAAUUUCAGAAACACUAAAAUUUCUAAAGUAAAUGCGUAAAUUAAUGCCUAACUUAGGGUAAUCAAUCAAUUUUUCAAAUUAGUUCAAAUUAAUGUAUAAAUUUAGGAUAUCAAUUAAAAGUUUCUUUAAAUGUUGCAUAGUUUAAUUACCAAAAUAAUCUCGAAUGAAAUAAUCAUUUUACCUGUUAAAUGUUAAAAUUACAUCUUUAUCCUUUAUUAAUCAACGGUUAAAAUCCAUUUUAUUUUUUUAAUAAUAAAGUACCGCAUUAUUUCUUUUUUAAAAAUUAUAAAUUUUGGUUUUUUAAAUUUUUAAAUGCUCUAUAUUACGAUUAACAAUAAGAACCGUCGAUUUAAAAAAUUUAUGAUCGAAAAUGACUUAUGAGUAGGAAAAGUAUAUAUUAUAUACAUAAGAUGAUGCAUGUGUGAAAUCAUGGACCACCUCCCGAAAUAAAUGCUUAGGCCGCAAAAACCUGUUAUGCGCCCACCUACUCUCCUUCACCUACUUUUUCCGCACAUAAAAUUUUAUAAUAAUUUUAUAAAAUUUUAUAAAAAAAAAAUUAAUUAAGGAUUUGAUAGUUAAUAUCUAGCACUAAUUUUAUAUAAAAAAAUUAUAAUUACUAAUUGAACACGACACAAUUGAUUAAGAAUUUAAUAGUUAAUUUCUAAUAUUUUAAGUUCGACAUAGUUAGUUACUUUAUAGUUUAUUAACUAAAUUUAUUUUUAAAAAAAAUAGAUGAAUCGACUAACAUAUUAUUUUUUUCUCUCUUUCUAAAAGAAAGCUACAUAAUAUUGAAUAGUUGAGAAGUAUUUUUAGACUUAGAUAUUCAACUAUUUUUCGACUUGGAUUUACAUUCAGCGAUUACCAUAGAAAUUGUUCCUAAGUAUAGUGUUAUAUUUUUAUUUGUGUGUAUUGUACGGUAGAAAAGAAUAAUGUUACAUUUUGCAAACCAUAGUAUAAUAAAUACAUAGAGUAUAAAAUGAUAAAGUGUUAUAUUACACCGCUCUACAAUUUGUAAAAAAACAAAAAAUCACUUUAUCGUAGUUAAUUAACGGCAAUUUCUAAUAAUAAAAUAAAAAUAAACUGUAAAAUAAUUAAAUAUAACUUUUUGAAUCAUAAUAUGACUUGGUUUUCUCUUAAAAAAAAAAAUACUUUGCUUGCAAACAAAUUUCAUAAUAUUUUACAAUCUAUACAAACCGAAUGGUUAGAUUUUUACUCUAAAAUUACAAGUCAUUUUUAUCUUUACAUGAUUUAUACUUCUUCAACAAUUAAAUACCAUCAUUUAUGCCAGACGGAGUCCAUCUAAACUAGACCUGACAAACGGAUGGAUUGGGUAACCCACGGGCGGGUCAUUGUACCCGUGGGUUACUUGGGCAUGGAUAAAAUUUACCCGCAAAUUUUUGGAUAGCCAACAUCAUUAUCCAUACCCACCCGCGGGUGGGCGGGUGGGUAUCCGGGUUACCCGUAAUUUUUUUUCUUUUUUUCUCUUAUAUUUUUUAAAUACAAAAUACAUAUAUGUAAAUUUUAAAAAUAUGACAUAACUCAUUAUUUAAAAUAUCAUAACAUACAGUAAAAUUAUUUAAAGUCUUAGAGCUUAAAAAUUUCGUAAUAUAAAAAACGCGAUAAGAAAUUAUAGUUAGAAUUUGUAGAAUGAAUAAAUAAAAAAAAUAUAUAUUUUAAUUAAGAAAAUAUAUUUUGUAAUUAAAAAAAAUAUGUGCGGGUACCCGUGGGUACCCGCGGGUUACCCAAAAUACCUACAGCUUAAUGGGUACCCACCCGUUUUACCCGUAUUUUUUUGGGUUGAAAAAGUUGGUACCCAUACCCGCAAAUUUACGGGUAACCCGCGGGGACCCGCGGGUAUGGGUCGAGAUUGCCAGGUCUAAUCUAAACUCUCUCAAAUAAUCUCAAACACCAUUUUAUCUACACUUUGCCCAAUUUAGUCAAAAUUCAAAAAAAUAUAUUAAAAUUUAGUACACUAAAUUCUCUCCCCCUACCCGCAUAAAAAUAAUUUCAUAUGCGAAACUUAAAUCCAUAUCUCAGCUCGAUUGAUUGAAGAGAGGAGGGUAGUGUUCUCGCAUCACAUUCUCGAGUUCCCAUGUACUCUCUUAUUUUUCAUGGUCGUUUUAUUGAUCUUAACAUACGGAAUCACAUGAUUUCAUAGUUUUUUUACUUUACGAGUGAGAAUGCAUAACAGAAACUUUUCAUAAGUCAUAUCCUUAUAAAGUUUCAACGGUUCAUAAUAAGUACGGCACAACAGAUUUGAAUUAUGUUUCUGAGUUCAAAAAUAAGUAAAAAAAAAUAAAAAAAGGGCCCUGCAAAAUAACAAAUUUGAAUUCAAAAUGUGAGGUGGAGAAAUAACUAUUUAUUCUUUUGAUUUUCGUCGUACGUGUCCGAGGCUUUCCUGAUUUGGCGGCCCAAAGUGAAAAAAAAAAAAUUCCAUGCAAUAAAUUUUUUUUAUAUACAAUUAAUUAUUCUUCAGGCAAAUUAUUUUGAUACAAAAAUAAAAAAAUAAUAUAAAAUAAUAAAAAAAUUGAAAAUGAUUUAAUAGAAGUUUUCGAUGAAUCUAUCACGAAGAUUAUUUUACAUAAUUUUUUCCAUUUAAUUAGUGUCUCUUAAUAAAGUUGUUAGACUUUGUCUAAAAUAAUAUAUUUGUCUACAGUAACGUAGAGAUUGACGAAAAAAAAAAGUGAUAUAUAAAUAAAAAUUAGGAUAAGCUUUAAAUACUAUCCUUGUGAUUUUGCACUUUUUCACUUUAGCAUUCUAUAGUUUAAAUCGUAUUACAUUAGAUCCUAUGGUUUUAUUUUUCUCUUUUCGUCAGUAUCUCCGUUAACUCUACGUUAAAUCAUGUACAAAAAAUUUCAGAUACUCAACCUAUGAUUUAUUGAAUAUUUACUUUAAUACUUUGUGGUUUGCCGAAUUCUUUCUUUAGAUCCUGUGUUCUUAAUUUUAUCACUGGUGUAACAAAAAAAUUAACGGAGAAGAUAACAGAAAGAAAAAAAACGAAACCAUAGGUAUUAAAUCACAGAAUAUCAAAGUGAGAAAAUUCGAAACUAUAGGAUGAUAUUUGAAGAUUUUUUUUAAAAAAAUAAAAUUAAAAUUAAAAUACAGUAUAUAAAAAUUUUAUAAAAACAUAACAAUAUAUAACGAUAUUUUCGAAUAAAAAAUAUAAUAUAGUAAAUAAUAAUAAUAAUAAUAAUAAUAAUAAUAAUAAAGUAGAGUGUAAGGAAGUGUAAUUAAGCAUUUUCCUAAGGGGAAAAGAGAAAAAAAAAAUCCUUUGUGGGAACACAAAACAGUUCUCCGUGGGGCCGUGCGCCAAACUCCGUGCUUUGGCGCGCGAGGGAAGAGCCGAGAUCGUGCCACGUGGACGUCGCGACACGUUGUGGUUCCCGCGUUGAAAUUCGCGGCGCCCACAUCCCACGCCCCAAAACGCCGUUUCCGAAUCGCCAAAAAAAAAAAAAAAAAAAAAAAAAAAAUUGAAGGGUAAAUUGUACAGAGACCCCCUAAUCUCUACCUAUCUGGCAAACAAGCACCUGAACUCUUAAUUUUGACAAUUAUAUUCUCUAAUUUGGUAGGCCGCUCAUCAAUCACACAACUCUUUAGUCAAAUUUUAAAAUAUAAAUAAUAUUUAUAUAAAAGUGAUUUGAUUGAAAUUUGAUUUAGCUUAUUUUUCACUUGUCAAGUUUAUUACUAAAUUUAAGUCUUACAGAUGAUGAUGUACGAUUAAAAUGGCUUUUUAGUUAGUAAAUUUACUUAAAGAAGAGAAAUUUAUUGAAUUAUUUGAUAAAAGUUUUAAAAAAAAUAUAAGUGCCAAAGAUAAAAAAAAUCUAGGAAGUGAUUUGUUAAAGAGGUGACGUUCAGGGGGUUAAAUAGAAAAGCGCUUUUCACAGCCGCGGCCCACCGCCCGCGACUUUUUCUACCUUCCUUCGUUUUCGCCCUCACCCAACCCUUCCCUUCUCGAAGCUUCUCCCUCUCUCCGAUUGAAAAUGGAACCCUAACCCUAACCCUAAAUCCCAAUUUCAAUCCCAAUCCCGAUCCCAAUCCCAAUUCGUGGAUCGAUCUCCCCACCCCCCCAAAAGUGGCUGUUUUUUGAGGUACUAGUCGACGCAGAUCCGCGCGGCCGAGAAACCCUCUCCGCGGGGGAAGUGAACGGGGUGGGGCGAUGGAGCGGGAUCGGAGGGUGAACCCCGAGUGCCCCAACGCCUCCAAUCCCUUCCACCGCUGCGCCGAGUACUGCGCCCCGAGAUCUCCUGCCGCCGCCGCCGCCGCAGCAGCAGCAGCAGCAGCGAAGCCCCGGAUCGAAUCGCCCAAAUCAGGUUUUGUACCUAAUUUCCCCUUUAAUUUCUCCUCCAAUUUGGCCCCCCUCUGCGAUGGAUUUGGUGUUGAUUCGUUUGUCAAUUGUGAUUUGGAUAGAUCCAAAUGGUGAUAGAACUCGAACGCGCGAUGAGAAGCGACGAGGUAGGCGAGGAGGCUCCGGGGGUUUGCCUUUAUAUGUUUUCCGUACGUUCCCGUCCUCUCUUUGUAAUCUAAUGGAAAAAGUCGGGAUUUUUCCUGUUUAUGUCUAGCAUCACUAAUUUUGUAUUAGAGGAGGAAAAAAAGAAACAACUUUGAUAUGUUUCGUUCAUUUUCUUCGAAUUGAUCAUGAGAAUUGUGCGCAAUUUGCUAUUUUGGGCUGUGGCCUUUCGUUUCAGUACAAAAUGGAGCAGCGGGGGAGAGUAGGAUGGUCGAUUCGAGGUGUCCGAAUGCGUCUAACCCGUUCCACGUAUGCGCCGAGUACUGCUUUACUAAGUUAAAUGAGAUUAAUAGGAGAGAGGGAAGCAAGUCGCCGUCCUUCUUGUCGCGGCACUCUUCAUCGUCAAGUGGUUCGUUCGCUGAUGCCGCUCGGUUCUAAUCUUACUACUAGUUAUCGGUUGCAAAGGAAAGCUAGGUUUUUUUCUAUAUAUAUAUAUAUAUUUUUUGGCAUCAAUUCUCUAUUGUAAUUGGUGGGUUGUGAUUGCAGCGGAAGAUGAUGUGAACUUGGGAGGGAACAGGAGGGUUGAUCCCAGAUGUGCAAAUGCAUCUAACCCAUUUCAUGUUUGUGCCGACUACUGUUUUAAUAAGUCGCAUGAGAAUAACUCGCAUGAGAUCAGUCGGGCAGAACCGGGCACUCCAGGUGUGUUAUCUUGCGCUUCCUGGUGUUACUUGACUUCUUUUUAACUCUUACGAUCUUGUGGAAAUGAUUUGAUACUUUAGCCUAUUUAAUCGAAUUUGUUGUCAUAAGAACUUAGUUCGUCUCACAACUGCUGUUCUUGGGUUAUGAUUGUAGUGGCAAAUGGUGUGAAGAUGGGAAAGACUAGGUCAAAUGAGAAGGAUCGGGCAGAGGGAGGUAUGUUCGGUGUCGACCCAUAAGAAUUUUGUGUUGAACGGUCGGAAGGGUUCUAGUCAGUUUCGUUCUAUCACUUAAUUGCUAGAUAUCUUAAUAGUGUUCUGCUACUUUUUGUUUGUUGUCGCGUAGGGGAAAAUGGUGUACAGAUUGGAGAGAACAGGAGGGUGGACCCCAGAUGCGCAAAUGCAUCCAACCCGUACCAUGUAUGUGCCGAUUACUGCUUUAAUAGAUCAAGUGAGAUGAAUCAUAAAGAGGGUGAGAAAUCAGGUAUGUGUCCUCUUUUGGACAAUUUUUUUAUUUUUUUAUUAUUUUCAUCUGUGGGGAGUAUUACUUUAUCUAGCGCCUUGUGUUUUGAAUCCUAUUUCCUGUUUUAACUUUAGUUGCAAGGGAAGCACAAGGGGUUCUUACUAUGGUCGAAAGAAGAGAUGUGCACCCCAAUUGUGUGAAUGCAUCUAAUCCCUUCCACAAGUGUGCUGAUUACUGCUUUAAGAAGUUGAAUGAGGCAACUUAGCUAGUCAUGGUAAUCUUUUUCCGAUUUUCUCUUCUAUCAAUGUUGGAGGCUUUUUAAUUUCAGUCGGCCAAACUUUUCUACUUUUGGUUGAUUUACUGAUUUAACUCGUGCAAAUUGAAUGACAUGUAUAGAACCAUUUAAAGAGUAAAUUAAUUAAAUCAAAACUAUAUAGGGCUCGAACGUGUAAUGAAAAGACGAAUCGAUGGCCUCAAGUUGAUAAAGGACUUUGUGCAAGACAUAAUUUGGAGGAAAAAAAUUCACGUAGCUCUUAUCGCAGCAGCGUGUUCUCAUAUAUUCUAUAAUUCACAAGUUAGAAUUCAUUUGUAAAGUAAGUGUGACAUGCAAAUUUUGCGCCACGUUCUCCCUAUUUCUUCGGUCCUUGCAUUUCUUCGGCCUGUGUUCUUCCUUACCUGUAGUUGGGCUUUAUUACUGAUUCCUGUAUACGUAUAGUCGCUAAAUUGUGUUGGCCCUAGAUAUGCCUCUUACAGAAUAUCUGUUAAUACGGAGUCCUCCAAAAAUACAAUAUAUUGCUUUCCUAUGUAUCAUUAAUUGGCUACAUAUCGGUACUUACACUCGUUUACUGAUUAGUUAGUUAUGGCGUAUGAACUAUUGCUAAUAACACUAGUCAUACUUUUAUGAAUAACACAGCUAUUGUUGCAGAAACAGCCAAAUAAUGCGCAAUUCGAAGUUUUCAAAUUUCCGGAAGAAAUUUUGAAUAAUUUGCUUCGUUUUUCUUUAUUAUUGUGCUUAUUCUUGGUUCGAUCAAAUGCGUUUCUGCAGGGGAGUAUUGCUGCAGGCCUGCAGGCAUCUAGCAAUUGCUGUUUAGUAGAUACAUUAUCGACGGCUCAGAUCCGCCCGAUCCCGCGAAUGUCAAUAGGUCGACGGGAAUAUUCUAGAAUGUUUCUUAUUGUAUAUUUCGUUUCGUAUAAGUAUAAUUGGAGUAACUACUGCGUUAUUGUUCUACGUUUAUUCGUCGAAAAGUGAUGUAACUAGCAGAUCUGCAGCUCCUCUUUUUAUCUUCUUUUUUUGGUUUUUGCUUUUUUUUUUUCUUUUUGUUAUUGUUGUUGCUUAUUAAUGUUUUUAAGUGUAUCACCUUGUAACUAUUGUAAUAAAUGGUGUAUGAGUUUAUGUGCAUUAGAAUUUGAAUCGAGCAAGCUCAUGCACCAAUUUUUUUGGUUUAUUUCAAGAAUUGAUAAUUCUAAAUUUUCUGAUUAAAAUGCUAUGUGUGUGGUGGAAUGGAAAAACCAUAUUGUAAUUGGAGAUUUUAUUUAUUUAUUAAGAACUGUAAUCAUUCAUUAGCAAAUAAAAUUUGGUCAAUUAAUAGUCUGUCAUUAAAUUUAAUAACAUUUAACUUAAGUUAAAAAUUCAACAAAAAAUUAACAAACCUCGUUAAUAAAUUUUUUGAACUUAGUAAUGUUUAAAAAUUCAGCUAAAAAACUAGAAGUUAGAGGAUCUCUAUGUUUUAAAAAAAGGCAAACUUUACUUCGCUCCCAUAUGCUUUUGGGCAUUUUUCACUUUGCACUCUUACAAUUUACAAAAUUAUACUUAAUUAUUUUAUAAUUAUUUUAUCUCAAAAUUUAUCAUUAAAUAAGAUAGUAAAAUCCUACUUUUUUAUAACGACAAGUAGGUAAAAUACAUAUUAUAGGGUAGGACCACAAAUUCUUAUAUUAUAAAAAAUAGUACUUUGCUAUCCUAAUUGAUGGUACUAUAAAAUUUUAAAUUACGGAGGAAAUUGAAGUUUAUCCUUAAGAAAAAAAUAUAGUUGAGGGGGCUUUUUCAGAAUAUCCUAUAGUUGAGGAGGUCCCAUACAUUUUGACAAAGAGAUAUAGCUUUCCGACUCGGAUAAGAAUCUCAAAAUCCACCCGAAACCCGAAACCCGUAAAUAGUCGCCGUAGCCUCCUCUCUCGAUCGUUCGAGCUCUAGGGUUUUGAUUCUCUCUCUCUCUCGACUCCCAAAACCAAUCGACUCCGAGGAGAGGGGGUGGCAAAGGAGGAUCGGCGAUGGAGGGGAAGGUCCACCCCGAUUGCAUCAACGCCUCCAAUCCCUACCACGAGUGCGUCGACUACUGCUUCCGCAAGAUCGCCGAAGCAAAAGCUCGAUCAGGUUCGAAUCAGCGCUCUUUUUCGGUUUUUUUGUUCGCCCGUUAUUUUGUACUGUUAUUCUGUUUUUCUCGAUCGGAUUGCUCGAGUUUGGUGAUUUUUGUUGUUGUAAUUGGUAAAGGAGUGUGAGGAGUCCCUAAAAUUAGCUCUUUUUUUUUUUUUUUUUUCCAACCCUAAUUUCCUGCUAUUACUCUCUUUUCCUGAUUGUAUUGAUGGAAUUUGGUGAUUUUUUUCUAUUUUUGUUAUUGAAAGAGGAGGGUGAGGAGUCCUUGAAAUUAGUUUUUUUUUUACGCAUAAUUUCCUACUAUUAUUCUGUAUUCUGGAUUGAAUUGUUGAGAUUUGGUGAUAUUUAUUGUUUGUAAUUGAUAUAGGAGAAUAAUGAGUCCUUAAAAUUAGCUUUUUAUGGCCCCUCCCUAAUUCUUACUAUUACUAUAUUUUUUGUGAUUUGAUUGAUAAGAUUUGGUGAAUUUUUAGUUGUUGUAAUUGAUAGAGGAGAUGAGAAGUCACUAAAAUUAGCUUUUCUUAUGGUCCCUACUUCCUAAUAUUACUGCAUUUUUUUUUCCUCUAUUGGCUUGUUGAGAUUUGGUGAUUAUUGUUCUAAUUGAUAGAGGAGAGUGAGAAAUUGAAGAAUCAGGAGGAGCCAGGGGAGAGGACCGUGCAUCCGGAUUGCAUCAAUGCAUCGAAUCCAUAUCACGAGUGUAGUGAGUUCUGCUUCAAACGGAUUGCAGAUGCGAAGGAUCAGAUGCGAAAGGAGGAACCAGGUUUUUUCUUCCCCCCCUCCCUUUUUCUCUGUCGGUUUUUUUAAUAAUUGGUAAUAUUUAUGUUUUGAGUAGUUUUUAAACUAGUUAGAACAAUUUUACUUGUGAACUCUGCGAAUGACUUGAAAAUUAAUUCCUAACCUAGCUAUGAGAAUAGUGAAGUAAAAGAUUCCAAUACUUGUAACCAAUUGCGGAAAAUUGUGUGUGGGAAGAAAUCUUGUUAUUGUCAUUUGCAGAAAUAGUGUUUAAUGAAUUUUGAAUAAGUUUGUUGGUCAUCUGCUUGCGUCUCCUUGUUGCAAAUAUAGUGACCUGCAAAUAUUCAUCAGAGUUGUCUCUGAUGCCCUCUAAGAAGUUCACAAACUGUUUGAUCUCAUUUGCUGAGCUGUGAUUUGCCGGUUUUCCAAAUUUAGUAUUCUUAUGCACUAUGGAAUGUUGUGUUAGAUCCCCCUCAAUUGCACUUUGAAACUCGAGUAAAAAGUUUCCUAAGCAGAUGAUUUUGUAUCCAUGCUGGUAACUUUAAUUAUGUUUAAAACCUCUCCAGGAAUGGGAGAGGCGGAUGGUGAUCCUUCUUCCCUAAAUGUCUCCAAUGACACUAAGGACCAUCCCAAACAACAAGAGGAUCAAGGAGAAGAAAGGGGUGGCGCCGAUGACUAUCCACAUAUGAACGAAAAGCAGAAGAAGUUGUUCGAGCUGAGGCUUAAAAUGGUAAUAUGUUCUGUAUGAAAUUAUCUAUUAGCAUGUAUAACCUUUCAAAAUCUGUACUUUUUGUGUAUGCCCUUCAAAAACUCAUUUUGUUAUAUCUAUUGCCUUAAACAUACAAAAGGCCCUUUUUGGAAAGCUUUUCUAAUGUAAAACCAACUUCUUCUCAUGAAUUAAAGCAUCUGGUAAAUUUGCCGACUUAAGGUUUUUUUUUUUUUUUUCUGGAGGAAACUGCACUUUUGAGGAGUACAUACAAAAAUUCAGAUACAACAGAGUAAAUUUCUAAAUAGAUUAUUUUGCAAGGAUAAAUGUAAAUGCCCCUUAUGAUUAUUUGGUAAUAUUGCUUGUUUACUGUUGUAUUCUGACAGAAUGAAGCAAGAAAAGCCAAUCAAAUGGCUAUAGUAGCAGAAAAGAAGAAGAUGGAAGCUCCCACUGAACCAAGGGGCAUCUCUAAACAGAAAUGGCUAGAAGAAAGGAAAAAGAAAAUCGGGAAGCUUCUUGAUUCGAAUGGGUUGGAUAUGUCAAAGGCUUACAUGCUUGAUACAGAAGAGACGGCUGAAGUAAAGUACAAAAAGUGGGAGAAAGAUCCCGCUCCAUAUGGCUGGGACGGUAUGCAUCAAAAACAUUUUUCAUAUUUGUUUCUCUGUUGGCUGCAGUUCAUGUAGGGCGGAAGAAUGUGAUUAGAGAUAUCUUUAGUUAUUACGAGUCAUUUACCAACAUUUUGUGAUUCUUAUGAUGCUCAUUUUAAUUAGAGAACUGAAAACUUUUUCCUGGGCAGUAGUUGUUAUUCAUUACUUAUUAGAGGGUCUUAAAGCCUAUUUCUGGUUGAUUCUUAUUUGGCGUUUGUUGGAAAUUUUGAGGAUGCUUUCUGAUUGAGGGAUUUACCUGAGCCCAUCUCAUUUUCACCUGUUGCAAACUGUAAUCUUGUAAUGAAUAAUUAGCUAUCAACUUGCUAAUGUUGUCACUUAUAUGUUAGUGGAGGAAUUGAAUUAUAGAACAAUCAAGGGUGCGAUGGUUUUUAAGAUCUAUAAUCUCUCGGAAAUCCACCUUGAUGAAAUCCUUUUGUUGGAAAUCUAUCUAAUUGAAGUCUGAUUUGGAAGCUUAUUUUUAUCUUACUAUUCUCUUUUCUCCUGGAGUGGCUGUUUUCAUCUAUCUUUUGUACUCUACUUUCCGGAUAAUUUAUGGCAAUUUAGACUCGAGUGAUUCAAUGUGGCAUUUCUGCCCUGAAAGAAUAGCAGUUAUCUGAUAAGUAGUUUUUCAUAUGCAGUUUUCAAUCAGAAAACACUUUACAAUGCCCACAAGAAGCGGACCAAGAACAUACAGGUCGACAUGGAGGCAUACAAUAAAGCAAAGGAAGCUGAUCCCGAGUUCUAUCGUGAUGCUUCCAGUCUUCAAUAUGGGAAGGUACUUUUCGCCCCAUGACACUAUCUGAACCAGCUUCUUUUGGACUCAUUUAAGAAACAAGGCUAAACAUAGAUUACUCCCGUGAAUAUGUGCACUUUACUCCCGUGAAUAUUGAUAAGCAAAACCUACAUAUGCAGAAUUUUCUGAUGAAUCAGGACUUUGUGUAUGGGUUUACAUUUCCAUCUGUUUCCUGUCGGCAGGUUUCGAAAGUUUCCGAGGAAAACAUCGAUCUAAUGGUGAAGGAGCUUCAGGAGAAGGAGGCGAAGCGCAAGUCCUUCAGCAGGAGGCGCAGGUUCCAUGAAGAGAAGGACAUCGAUUCCAUCAACGACCGCAACGAGCACUUCAACAAGAAGAUCGAGAGGGCCUUCGGGAAGUACACCCUCGAGAUCAAGAACAAUUUGGAAAGGGGAACCGCCCUACCCGACUAAGUACUUCUUCGAUGAAUUGUGUAAUAUUAGUGGCUCGCUCUGUACACCCCUUGAUUUUGCAUUCUCUGUUCAUGUAUUUUAUAGCUUUAAUGAGGGAACAAUGCAUGAAAGGGGUACUUCUAAACUAAAUUUUCUACUCAUUUCUAGUUUCUGCAUUUGCUUCACUUCAGAAUUUAACCGUCCAUUAUAUCUAAAGAAAAUUAUGUAAAGCACACAGUUUGUAGAUUUAGGGGGGAUAUUUUUUAUUUUUUAUUUUUUUUGAGAAUUGGGAGCUUGAUUUUUCGCUACGUGUUCCUGGAAUAACCAAGAACAACAUAAUUCUGAACUAAAUGAUGCUGAAGAUUCGAACACAGUUUUUUUUUUAAAAAAAAGGGAAAAGUCCAUAGGCCAAGGCAUUUAAAAUUUGAAAUCAGAAUACACAAUAUCUGUACGAACAAAAUUUUACAUAAAUUCAAAAUUGUAUCGAAUAUUUUAAUGUACAACCAAAUAAAAUAUCAACCUAUGACGCGAAACUUUUAUCCUUAAAUUUUAAUUCAACUAUGACGCGACACUUUUAUCCUUAAAUUUUAAUUUAUUCUAAUUUCUCACUAGAACUAUAAACUAUGUGAUAUUUUAGUCUUCAAACCUUCUUAAUUGUAACAAUAUAUUACUUAAUGAUGCAAUAAUGAUCAAAAUAUUAGAUUAUUUCGAUUUUACUAAUUCAUCAAUAUCUAUUCAAAAAAAAUGGAUUACGAGACUUUGAUUGCAACAAUUCAAGAAGUUUAAGGACUAAAAUAUCACAAAUCUUACACUUCCAGCUAGAAAUUGCCGUGUAUUAAAGUUUGGGGAUUGCAUUGUCACGGGUCUCAUAGUUUGAGGACCAAAAGUGCAAUUUAUGUCAUAUAUAACGAUAAAAAUAUUCCCUAAAUAAGUUAGCUACUAAUGGGCCGUGGGGCUCGGCCCAUUUAGAAUGGCCCGUAGCCCAUAAAAAUAUCUAUCACUCGUUCACUCACUUCUCUACCAAAUCCCAUCGCAAUAAAAGCGUGCGUGCGACGCAAGAUCGAAAUUCGAACUCUUUCUCCUCCGCCGCGGCGACGAAGCUAGGGUUUCCUCCUCCUCCUCCUCCUCCUCCUCCUCUCGAUUCGCCUCCAUGAUCGCACCUCGAUCUCCAAUCCCUUCCCCCGACAUCUUCCUCUGAUCGAAUCCCUCCUCUUCCGAUUCGAUCCCACGUUUUUUCCCCAAAAUUUUCCAUCUUUUUUUUUUUUUCCCAUUAUGAUUCCAUCUCCUCCUCGCGCGCUCGGUCUCAUCGUCGCUUCCUUCUCCGCCAUCGACAACCUCCGCGUCCUCGGCCCCGGUUUGAAUCCCUUCGCUCCCUUCGGCAUGGGUAACUACUCCGCCUCCCGCUAAUCCUCUUCUCAGGGUUUACUGGGAUUCUUCCGAUAAUAUGUAAAAAGCCCCGGCCUUUCUCGCGGAUCCGGUCGCUUCGUCGCACGAUACACUUUUGAAGACGUAUCGAUCUUCUUCUCUCGAUUGGAGGUGGUAAAGGAGUGUUGGUUUUGUGUAUGCUAUUGAUUUGGAGGGUAUCGAGCUGGUUUGGGGAAUUUGGGGGAUUAUUUCUCGGUUUCGUUUUGGGAGAUAUGGUGCAAGAGCACAAUAGGCAGGUGCCGCGUCGGCAGCUGAGUCGGGGAUCGUCCAACCGGCGUUGCAGCGACAGAGACGAUCGAGGGUGGACGCUACUCCACGUCGGUGCUCGGAAGGGUGAUCUCAAGGAGGUUAGUGUUCUUAUUUAGCAUACAAGUUGAUAAUUUCGUUUUAGAUAGUUCCGUGAUUAAUAAUGUUGACUAGUUGGUGAAAGAUCAGUUAUGGAUUAGCUAAUGACCUUUACUCUGGUUAGAUUCAAAUCUUCACUUUGGUAUAUGCUCUGAAUAUCUUGUGAAAGCAAAUUUUUGUGGAGAACGAAACAAUAAGUAUGUGGCAUACGCCAUUUGUGCAAUGAUUCUCGAUAAAUGAACUAUAGAUUGCUGAAGGGUAGCUAGCCCUAGAAUAAAUAGAUAGCCAUUUGUUUGGUUGGAGUCCCAUUUUUAGCAGUCUCUCAGUAGGAUUGAUGGGUCAGACUCUUGUCUUUCCUCAUUCAAAACUCAUUUCUUUUUCACUUGCAUGAACAGUCUGGCCACCAAUGCUUUGCCUAGUUCGGUAGAUUAUUCGGAUAGGUUAAGGUGCGGAGCGAUACAUUGGCAUAGGGUCUGUUUUAAGAAAAAAAAAAAUGAAUGUGGAGUUCUUGACCACGGAGCCUCCCGUUCUUAUCUGAUUGUAUAUUAGCUUGUCUAAUGGCUUUUAAUCAUAGGCGGCACAUGACUUACUUUUUUCUAUUUAAAUUUCUUUCAUGUGCUCAUAUGCACCUCAUAAGAGAAGCUAGAGUUUAGAGACUCGCCACCAGUUCCCUUUCCUAUGCCCAUACCAUCUCAUAUGUGUUUGAUUUACAUAAUUUGUUAUGUUCUCUUCAGGUGAGGCGCCUUUUGAAUGAAGGCAUGGAUGUCAAUGUGCUUACUUGGGGCCCAAAAACACCUGGUGUUACCCCACUUCAUCUUGCUGCUCAAGGCGGACACCUCAGAGUUAUGGAUGAAUUACUCGACCGUGGUGCAAAUAUCGAUGCUCGAACGAAAGGAGCAUGCGGCUGUAAGUUGAUCUUUCUUCAGUUCCUUAUUCUUGUUGCAAGAAUUUGUUUCUAUUAGGUGGCAUGAGUCAGGUCUGUCGUUGUUUAAUUUCUUUCUCUUUAAUUUUUGGAAAUGAAUUUUUAAUAGUGUUUCUUUUAAUUUUCCUUGUUCUCUCAGAAAAACAACUUCCUCUACACUUCAAGGACCAUUUGAAUAUAGAAAAAGCAUAAUAGUUAUCAAUCUUUCUUAAUCCAACUUUGUUGAACCUUAUUUUAAUUGGUAGGAAUUUGUUGCCGCGUUUACAUGCAUAGAAUGUAUAAAGGGAUCAUUGAUUGCCUUAUGAAUGAUGCAGGUCACAUCCUUCAGUUGAUAGUUUGAUUUUUAUGUUCUUUGUAAUCUAAUGUAGCUUUUCAGUUUGCUUAUGUAAGGUGAUUUCCUUAGGUUUAUUUUGUGUUUAUCUCACAACUGAAUAGUUCUGCAUUAAAAGUUGGAAGAUGACGUGAACAUGAUAUAGUAUAUAAGGACUAGGACACUAGUACUGUUGAGUUUUUCUUGGUCUCAAGCAUCUAAGACCAAGUGUUGAGACUAGUGGGCUAGUUGCGCUGUGAGUAUGGCAUAAGAGCACAUUGAGGUGAUAUGACGUUGGGCCAUCUGAUUGUUCAUCCUUGUUGUUGCUCUCAAUCUCAAUACAAUGGUGAAAUAGCAGAUUGGAGAGACUCUGUCAACCUUGUUUAACUUUUAUGAUAGUCGGAUGUUAUAAAUCUCGUUUUAACUUUUUCGAUUUUCAUAAUAAAUAAUAAAUAUAGAUCAAUGAUCUUUGAUCUUAACUAAAAAUAUUAAGGUGUACGACUCACACAACACUUGCUGUGAGUUUUCUUUAUAUCCUUUAUACGUGUUGACGAUUUGAGAAUAUAUGAUUCCUUCUCACUAAUAACGGAAAUUUUGUUGUCAUUUCUUCUGCAAUACGCUGUUUCCCCUGACGAUGAAACAUGGCUGAUUUUGAUGCCUUUCUGGCAAUUUAGGGACUCCGCUUCACACUGCUGCCAAGGAGAGGAACAAGAGAGCCAUAAAAUUCCUGGUAGAGAACGGUGCAUUCUUGCCCCCUGACAUCGACGACCAACGCUUCAACCCGCCCCUCCACUACUGCCCGGGCCUCGAAUGGGCCUACGAGAUGAAGCGCCUGCAUGACGAUGGCCCGUCUGGUGAAACUUCUUGCAGUUCCGAGAGCUAAGUGAGUACCGAAACCGCCCACCCUUGGUGCUUCUAUCCUAGCAAUGUUGUCUGUGAAAAGAACUCUCGACGAUCGUUAUGUUUGUUCUCAAAAUGGCUUGCUUGUCGGUAUUUCUGUGCCUUACCGAACACCUUAUUAGGGUUUCUACUCUGUAGAAAUAUUGUGCCUUCUUCUGUUUGUCUGUGUUUUUUAGCUGAGAAUGCUGCUGAUCAAGACAUUUAUUCUUAUGCUUGCUGUGUGUUUGUUGUUCUCGUAAACGAUGAGCUGAUAAAUAAUUAUUCAUGGAUUUGAUCCUAUAAUUUACAUCUUUUAUUCUGGGAAAAAAAAAGAGCAUACUUUUGUCAAGUUUCACAUUGGAUUUUUUUAUGUUUGUACAUAACAGAGUUUUCUGUUAACACUAAUGUUUGGAUACACAGUAAAAAAAUCUCCAUGGAAUUUUUAAACGGUGGUUUUGGUCCAAAUAAAAUAGAGAAUUCUGUUAACUCUAAAAAAAAUUUCACGGAUUCAAUUUUUAAACUGUUUGGAUGCAUAUUGUGUAAUUUUACGGGAUUUCUCUAAAUUUUAAAAUUAAAAGUUAAAAUUUUAAAUUUUAAAUUUCAAAUUUGGCCAAUUUGUAUAAAAAAUUCAUUUAUUUUGGGCUUUUGCAAAAUUGGGCCACCUUUUUCGUUUUUGCAGAUUAAGCUAGAUUUUCAGCAAAUUGAUCAAAAUAUUCUUAUUAUUUUCUCUCUUUUUUUUUCUCGUUUUUUUCUCUCUAAAGAAUGCAGUGAUGGCGGAGGCGGCCUCGCUUCUCAUCCUCAUACUCUCGCCCUCACCCACGCACCCUGCGCCUUCCUCGCCUCCGACCUCGUCAAGACUGCAUCGCGACUCCUUUUUUUUCCCCCUCUCCGACCCUCCUCCACCGCCUCUGACGAUGAUGCCUAUCUCACCCUCUCUCAUCCUUCUCGCCCUUUCCUUCUCCCUCCUCCUUCGCCUCCUCCGCCGCCUCCGACGACGACGCCUCUCCGCCCACAUCGGUGCCGCGGAGGUCGCUGUGGCGCCGCAGCCUCGGAGCGGGGGGUCUUUAGCGGCGUCAUCGCCGGCGCCGUGACCGUUGGCGGAGAGAUGUGACAAAAAAAAUGUAGAAAAAGGAAGAAGAAAAAAAUAAAGACAAAAAAAUAUAUAAGAAAGAAGAAAACGGUGAAAUUGCACUGUUAAAAUAAGAUUACACUGUCUUAAAACAAAUUUGCACUGUUUUAAUGAAAAUUGCACUAUUUGAUAUAGAAAUUACACUCUUUUGGAAUGGACUUUACACUCUUUAAGCCAACGUUGCACUAUUUUGGAGAAUUUUGCACCAUUUCUUUUCCUCUUCUUUUUUUCUUUCUCCUCUUUUUCUUCUUCCACUGCUGCCUCCCGCCCGCCCGGCCCGAGCUCCUUUCCCGUUGUCAGGAGCCUCCUCGAGCUCGGCAAUAGCCCACACCGCGCCUUCGCGCGCCUCGCCGCCUGCUACGGGCCCCUCGAGCUCAGCGUGACCACCGUUGUGGCCUCCUCCCCCGCAGAUGGCGACGCCCUCGAGGUGGAGCCAGGCGGCGUUGUAAAUGCCGUGGAAGCGAAGGUGGAGGAGGGAGAGGCGGGGGCAGUUGGCGGCGAAGGAGAGGAGGGCCCCGGAGCGGGGAGGCGCCCUCAUCGCCGGCAACUUCUGGGGCAGUUGGAGGCCCCGAAGCCCGCCGGUGGGUACUUUGUCAUUGUCACCGUUGUCAUGGUCGGCAAGGCCGCCUUUGUCGCUGGCAGCCUCCGCGGCGAGGCCUACAGGAGGGCGGCGGCGCGAUCGGCCCCACGUUGGGAGGCGCUCCUGAUCUUUCGCGNAAAAAAAGAUUUUGGUCCAAUGGACCAAAAUAAUUGGUCCAUUGGACCAAACUACACCUCCCAAGACCUUGGGAGGAGCAGACCACAUGGCCCAAGGCAAAUUGCCUUGGGCCAUGGGGUCCGAGCCCGGCUGGCCCGGCCCAAGCGGGCCGUGCCGUGCCGGGCCGCCUGCUUCCAAUUGGCCCGGCACGGCCCAGGCCCGUUUCGGGCCGUGCCGUGCCGGGCCGUCGGGCUCCAAAACAGCGGCCCAGCACGGGCCCAGAGCCUCGGGCCGGUCCGGCCUGCCACGGGUGCUACAGUGCCCGUGCCGGGCUGUGGCCCGGCCCGAGGCCAUGCCGGACCGGGCGGCCCACGUGCCGCCCGGCCCGUUUUACACCCGUAUCCACACCUCUAUCUCUCUCUCUUUCUCUCUCUCAGACCCUUCCUAGCAGUAGGGCUGGCAAAUGAACGAGCCUCUUUCUCUCUCUCAGACCCUUCCUAGCAGUAGGGCUGGCAAAUGAACGAGCCGGCUCGUGUUCGACUCGCAUUCGACUCGAUAUUUGGCUUGCUCGAGCUCGACUCGAAAUUAAAUGAGUCGAGCUUGAACAAAAAAAGAGCUCGAAAUUUAUUUCAAGCCGAGCUUGAGUAUUACUCAGCUCGUUCGAAUUAGGCUCGAAAAGCUCGAAAAGCUCGAAUAUAUAUAUAUAUAUAUAUAUAUAUAUAUAUAUAUACUAUGUUAUCGAAAGUAUAGAGGAUCUGAUGUUUUCGAUUUUUUGAUUCUUAGAUUAAUACUAUUAUUACCUUGUAAGAACCACUCAAUCCUAGGGGUAUUAUUUAAUCCUGGGGGGAUCGCAAUCAUUCCAACCAUACAAUUCUUAAUCAAAGGGCCAAAAAUUCGAAAAUAUCAAAUCCUUUAUAUUUUCAAUAGCAUAGUAGUUCUACAGUAUAUAUAUUAAAAAAUAUAUAAAUAUAAUAUAUUUUAAUUAUCUGAGUUUAGUUAAAAUUAGGCUAAUGUUGUUGGCCCAUAAAAACAAAUCUAAUAGACAAAUAAAAGAGCGAAAUUUCACUUAAUUUAUACAUUUUUCCUUUCUUUCUUUCUUUUACAGAGCUUAAAUUUUUAAUAUGUUUCUCUUUUUCUCUUUUUCUGUCUCUCACCCUAAGUGGCACCGGAAGCCCUUCAAAUUACCAACUAACAGCAUAUGCUCGUCGUUGCCUACCUUGCUAUUAAUUGUAUACUUGAGAAAAAAUAUACAGAAUAUUUUUAAAGUAAAAAAUUAUUAUUCAUAUAAAAUUUUAAUUUUAAUUAUAUAUGAUUGGAUAGUUUAAUCCAAUAUUUAUCUAUAUAAUUUAUUUAUUUUUGAUUGCAUAAAUGAAAAUGAAUAAUAUGGAGAUUAAAGGCGGAAGAAAAGACAUGUGAGACUGAAAAGAUUAGGAGUAAUGCUUCUAUACUUUUUUUUUUUUGUUACCGUUCAUUCACGUGUAUUCAACGGCUCAGAUUUAGUUUUUUUUUAAAUUGUGACCUGCAAUAGCAGGUCACUCUUGGAGAGGUACCGGUUACCAGGUACCUCAAAAAAGAAUAGUUUUGUCUUUUAAUAUAUGGGCAAUUUAGUCAUUUUACAUCUACUAUAUUUUCAAAAUUUUUAUUUUUUCUUUGUUUCCUUUUUCUCUCUCUAUCUUUCCUUUCAUAAUUUGGCAUUUCAUAUAAGAAAAAUUUCAAAUGAUUUGACAAUAUAAUCAUUGAAUUUAAACUUUAAAUAGUAAUAUAAAAUUCCUCUAAUUUAAAUUUCACUUUUAAAUUUAAAAUUUAAUAUUAUAUUCAAAUUUAUAUUUUAAAAAUUUAAGUUUCAUAUAAAUACUUUGAAAUAUGGUAAACAGAAAUAAUUGUUUGAAUUUUAGUCUUCUGGUUUAGGUUUGGUUUUGGGUUUCGAAAAAUUUGUCAGUUUUGAAUUUGGAUCAUGGAUUUUUGAAUCCGUCGGAGUUCGGAAAUUUAAGUUUGUGAGUUGAUUAGUCAGAUUCGAAUUCAAAUUCCUAACUAUUUGUUUUCUCACCAAUAAUUUCUGAAUCUUUGUUUAAUGUUAAUAUGUUGUAAGGAAUUAUAAUUUAAAAUAUUAUUAAGCUCGGUAACGUUGAGUUAUCAUUCUGUUUAAAAUAGUUUAUUUAUGCUUUACCGGCUUUCGGCUUCAAUAGUUAAAAUCAGAUCUUGAUAGAAUAGGUCAAAGUCUGAUCAGUCAAAUCAAUCGGGUUUCAAUCUAGUUUUUUAAAUCAUGAAUUUAAAAUUCUAAAAUAGUAAUAUGAAAUUCCUGCUAGAGAGAACUAGUUGUAGAAAAUCUACUCUCUAGAGUUUUUUACUGCAUUACGCUUUUAACUGGUGCGAAUAAAACUGUAUAUUAAACUUGAGAAAUUUAGUUUUUAAAUACGUAAUAUGAAAUUCCCUCUAAUAUUUAGAAAUUUCACUUUUAAUUUUAAGUAUUUAAUUUUUAAAAUUUUAAAGUACACGUAUUGAGAAUAAAUAUAUUUCUUAAAAUUUCUAAAAUUCAAAUUAAUGACAUAAUUUGAGAAGCAGCUAAAACAUUUAAGAGUAGAUCCUAAUUAAUGCCAAUAAUUGCAUAAAUUUGGUUAAUAUUAAUUUCUAAAUUAUGUGCAAUUAAUGCAUAAUUUAGACUACUCAAUUAAACAGUUUCUUUAGAUAUUGGUAUUUAUUUUAAUUUACCAAACUACCUUGAAGUAAAAUAAUUCCUUUUACCCUGCUAAGUAUUAAAGUGUAAAUUUUUACCUCUAUUAAUCAACGGUUAAGAUCUUUUUUAUUUUUUUAACAAAGUACGGAAAUCAUUUCUCAAAGAUUAGUAUUAUUCCAUUCAUAAAUAUUUUUUUUCAUAUAUGAUAUUUACUAUAUUUUAUAUAUGUAAUUUGUUGUACUUUGAGACUUUAGUACAUAUUUUGUGUAUCAAAUUAGUAGAUAAUGUCUAUACAAUUAAACUAUUGAAUCGUAUGCAAUGUGAGAAUUUCAAGCCGGCUCGUUUAGGGUUCGAGCUCGCUGGACUCGAGAAUUUCAGGCUGCGCUUCGAGCUCGGCUCAAAUUAAUUUCAAUCCAGGGCUUGAGCUUAAAUUUUAGGCUCCGAAUAAUUUCAAUGCCGAAUUUGAGCCGGGGUAAGCUACGCUCGCGAGCUCGGCUCGUUUUCCACUCGCCCUACCUAGCAAGCACCUCGUCUUCCUCUCUCCCUACCAACAACACAUGGCCGUACGCUCACACACACUCUCUUCGUUCUACUCCUCGUCUCUUCUUCAAUAUGUAUAUUAAUAAAAUUAAUUUUUCUAUAAUAUGUAAUAAAUUAAUUUAUAAUAAUAAAUAAUAUUAUUAUUAAAUAUUUUUGAUCCAUCACAUGUAAUAAAUUAUAUUUAACUAGUGAUGACUCAGAAGAUGAGCUAUAUUGAGUGUCCAGUUCAAAUUUUUGCACAAAGCAUAAAAAAAUUGUGAAACUGAGUUAUACACAUUAUUGAUCGUACCUAUUGAGGACUAUUGAUUUUAGUUCUUAUACUCUUUUAUUUAAUAUUUUAUUUCAGAGCCUUUACCACCAGCAACUGAUCGAGAUAAAAAAAACAUAAUUUAGUAAAUAAUAUUAUUUAUUAUUAUUAAUAAAUUAAAUUUUUUAUUAACAUUAUAAUAAAAACUAAUUAUUAUUAAAUAAAUAUUGAAGAGAGAGAGAGAGAGAGUGUGUGUGUGCGCGUGCAUGUGUGUGUUGGUGGGGAGAGAGGAGAGAGGGUGCUGCUAGGAAGGGUCUGAGAGAGAGAAAGAGGUGUGGGGUUGGGGAGGAGAGAGAAAGAGAGUGAGAAGGGAUCUCAGAAAAUGAGAGAGGAGAGAGAAAAAAAAAAUUUUCUCACUUAAUCUUUUAAUAUGUAUUAAAAGAAAUUAAUUUUUUUUUCUCUAAUCUUUAAAAAUGAGCCUAGAUGGAAUUUUUUUUAAAAAAAAAAGACUAGAUAGAGAAUAUUUUUUUUUGUAAAAAGGCUAGUUAGGUAAAUAGUUCGUUAAAUUUAAGGUAGGGGAACAAGUAAAAUACUAUAAUGAUCUAAGUAAAGAGAGACUGUAAUAAAGAGUUACCUAAAUUUUGGUUGGUCUUUUCGCAGGAAAGAUGCAACGGGAAAUGUUUCUGUCGCGGCGUCGCCGUGAUUGAAAACUUCGUGUACUUCAGGUAGGUCCCGAAAGAAUAAAAAAACUAAACUUUAAGUAGAACUGUAGAAGUUAAGAAAGCAAAAGAGACUCAUCACAAAGGACAGACUUCAGUUCUUAUUUAAAAAAUAAUAAUAAUAAAUCAGUUGGUUGGCUAUCUCUUUCUCUCUAAAAAAAACCCUUAUUUUAAAACCUUUUUUUAUUAUUAUUAUUAUUAUAUAUAUAUAUAUAUAUAUAUAUAUAUAUAUUUUGGUCCUUCUAAAUUUCUAGCUCUUGGAUUUAUUUCUUAAUUACUAAUACUCCUUAGAUCAAAUACUAUUCCACCUAUCACAACCUAUCAUCAUCAUCAUCAUCUCAAUCCUACAUCUCUUCAUCCGAUGGUUAAAAACUCAAAAACAUCACCCUCCAGAUUAUGAGGGCAUGUUGCUCGUAUCCCAAUUUUAAUAUCCAAACUAAUAAUAAUAAUAAUAAUAAUAAUAAUAAUAAUAAAGUCUCCUCAAAUCUACAAAAGAUUGAGAGCUUUGAAUGUGAACACACGAUCAAUCAUCAGUUUGCAAAAGACGGUUCAUUUAAUUUUCCUUCAAUGUGUCGAGUUGAAUGGACGAUCCUUGCUGCCAAACGAAUAUUUAUUAAGUAAUUAGUGGCCUCAUCCAUCAACUAAUACAUCAACGAAUAUUUAUUAAGUAAUUAAAGACUUCAUCCGUCAACUUUAGGUACCAAGUAGGUGGGGGAGGUCCAAGGUCCUUGUUGCCACGUAAGUUGGCGCUGACGUUGACUCAAACCGAUGGUUGUUAUAAUGGUAAAUAGCUGACGUCUAUGUGAAAAAAAUUUUGCCUUGUGGAGAUACACUAAUUUUAUUUUAUUUUAUUUUUACGUCUUUGUGCUACUUUUUAUCUUCUUAGAGGCCGUGUUGCCUCACCCAUGUAGCUAAGUUCAUCUUCUAAAUAAAUAAAGCGGGUAACGUGGUACCUUUUCUUAAAAAUAAAAAAUAAUAAUAAAGAAACUGUUUUCAUCUAAUAAUUAAAUAGUCAAUACCAGGUUGCGGGAAGAAAACCUGAUCAGCUAUUUACAAAUAGUCAAUUUCAAUUCUCCUCCCCGCCCCCUCGAGUGACUUGACAAUUCUAUUAGAUGGCGCAAUCCGGCGACUGCACCAUGCUUUUGCCGUACAGGGCGGGCGGCACCGCCCUCGACGCUCUGAUGGUGGUGGUGUCGGCGAUCAUGGGCCUCCUCGCAGGUCUCCUCCUGGUCCGCGGCCUCCUCGGCAGCCUGUCCGGAGCCGCCACCACGCAUCCCACCGUCCGCUACUUCCUCUGGGUCGUCUUCGCCCUCUUCCUCCCUCUUACCUCGUACAUGUUCUCCGAGGAGAAGAAGCACUCGGACGGAUCCCUCCGGCCGCAGCUCAUCCUGCUGUGGAUGCUCCUCGCCGAGAUCCUCCGCAAGAAGCUCGAAGGCGUCAGCACGAUAAACGCCUCCCCUCUGCAGGGCGUCAACAAGCAGUCGACGUGGGACGCCGUCGACCAGAUCGUGCGCAUCACGUGGCUCGGCUACCUGAUCUACACGCACGCAGUCAAAUGGGGAUUAUUCAUCAUCCUCUGGGCUUUCAGCAUCAUCAAGGUCGCGCAGAGAGUCGCUGCCGUCGAGGUCGCCAAACGCUCCUUCGCCUUGGGGGAAAACCCGCACCUCAUCGUGGGCUACAUGCGCCAAUUGAUGUCCGGAGAACAACAACAACGACAACAAGGACCAGCAGCAACAUUGAGGGCGAUGAAGGCAUGCAAGUACGUGAUCAUGGGAGAAGAAAAGGUGGAGAGAGAGGCGGGCCCUCACGGCUACAGUCUCCAGCUCCCGGUUGACGAAGAGAGGGAGAAAGUGGUGAAGAAGAUGGUGACCGUCGGCGACGUGUGGGAACUGGCUGCAAGCGGCGACGUCCUUUUUGCCUCCCGGCAGCUGAAGCUCAAGGACCUCUGCCUCUCCUUCGCGCUCUAUAAGCUACUGCGGAGGAGGUUCGAGGAGUAUCCGUCUGCUGAGGCCGGCCGCCGCGAGUCCCUUGACUUCUUGCUGUGCGGCUUGCUCGGCGACGACAAGGNGAUAUAUAUAUAUAUAUAUAUAUAUAUAUAUAUAUAUAUAUAUGCAUGACGAAAAUUUAGAAUCUCUUGCCUGCGCCAAUAAUACUUGUGUUAAAAAAUAAUAUGUAAUAACCGAUCGAUCUUCUUCAAAAACUAAAACUAAUUCUAUUGCAGGGGAUCGAACAACGAUACAUAUGAGUUGUAAUAUAUAGUUUUACUGCGUACUUUCAACAGGGUCUUCCGUGUGAUUGAGGACGAGCUCAGCUUCCUCAGCGACUACUACUACUCCACGAUCCCCCUCAUGAUGUCAAAUCUCUGGUUCUUCCUCCUCGACUGCAUGCUCGUGUUCGUCAUCCCGCUCUUCUGCUCGAUCGUGAUCUUUGUCCGCAUCGUCGUUGUGCACGAUGGCCUUAUCUGGUGCCUCUUCCAUCAGCUCAUCAAAGAAAAGGUGACAGUGCCCAUGCUGUAUGAUCCGAUCGUCACCCUCCUCCUCAUCGCCACGUUCUUCUUACUGGAGUAUGCGGAGGUCGUCGUCUACGUGCUCUCCGACUGGGUCAUGGUCUCCCUCCUCUGCACCUACGCGAAGAAGCCGUCGUGGCGGCAAUACGCGAUCGUCCGCCGGGCCCUGACCACGCUGCGGAGGGUGAAGACCUACUUGAAUCGUGCCGAGUUCGAAUUCAACCAGCAUUCUAUGCUAGAACCGCGCGGUCGCACCCUGCAAAUCUUCUCGCAGCUCGUGCUGCGCCGGCGCUUCCUCCUCGUGCAGUCGAUGCUCCUGAAGAUUGUGCUGCACCGCCGGUACCUCGGCGUGCGGUCGACGCCCGUCCCGAAGGAGGUGAAGGCGGCGAUCGUGAAGUAUCUCGUAGACAAUCGAGGCCGCUGCCCCGCUCUGCACAUCGGAGACUCCGUGCUGCGGCGGAACGGGGCAGCAGGAGAGGAGCUCCUGCAGGCUUGCAAGAGCGACGGCGCUGCGGAGACGAUCAUCGUCUGGCACAUCGCCACCUGCCUCUACGAGAUGAAGCACCCGUCGUCCCCACCGUCGCAGGAGAAGCCUCAGCAGGAGUCCGACGUCCACAACAUGCAAGCGAACUGUAGGAUCGCCGAGACGCUGUCCAAGUACUGCAUGUACCUGGUGGCGCUCGCGCCGGAGCUGCUGCCCGACGACGCGGCCUGGACGACAACCGCGUACAAGUCUGCGGUGAAGGAAAUUCAUGAUGCUAUAUUGAAACGGCGUGAUCAUAAAGCGGACAAUUUCGAGCGCGUGACGAGCAUGAAGAAGGUGGACGGGACAGUGGCGGAGAGGGGAGCAGAGCUCGGGCACCAGCUGGUGGAGGCGGUGCUGGAAGAGUCGCUGGUGUGGAUGGUGCUGGCGGAGCUGUGGACGGAGAUCGUGGUCUACAUCGCUCCGUCGGACGACGUCAAGAGCCACGCGCAAGCGCUGGCCCACGGUGGCGAGUUCAUCACCCACAUCUGGGCAUUGCUUACUCACGGCGGCAUUCUCCGGUGGCCCGCUGCUGAUGAGUCUCCGGUGUAAUGAGUUUCCAACUGAUGAUCAGUUAAGCUUUCAUGCAUGCAGUGUUUGUUCUCCUUUUAAGAUGUUUGAGUAGAUCGAGUUCGUUUUGGAACAGGCGUGUGUGGAUUCCAAUGACAUCUUAUUAUUAUUCUACAGGUUCUAGGUCUGGUUUUGAAGUUUGCGCGGUUGUAAUUUGAAAGAUUCAUCAAGUGUGCAUGCAUUAUGAGAGAUCUAUAUUGCCAUGUAAAUAUAAUUAAACAAAAAAAACAAAAUAUCAAUACUCAGAAUUAUAAACAGAAAAAAAAAAAAAAGUUUACAAAUCACUAUAGAAAAAAAAGAGUUAAUUUCAUAUAGGUCCCUACAAACAUAGAAAAUUAUAAAUAUAUUUCUACGAAAUUCAACAUUAUUCAUAUAUUUCUCUAUAAAAGUUUUAAUGUUUUCAAAUAUAUCUCUCUGAUUUGUUAUCGUUAAAGCGCUAUUUAUUUUAUAAGUAAAAUAAUUUUUUUACCAUCACAAAUAUAUCCCUUCAAAAGUUCUAACUGUUAAUUAAAAAAGUGGUAAAAAUGUCAAUUCACCUUAUUAACUAACUUGGGUUAAGUAUUUAAUUUGUGGUUAACUAAAUUUUUCUAACGGCAGAGAUGUAUUUAAAAAUAUUAGAACUUUUGUAAGAACAACAUAUGAAAGUUGAAUUUUGUAAGAAUUAUUUUGCAAUUUACUAUAUUUGUAGGGAUCUGUACGCAAUUAACAAAAGGAAAUUGAUUAAUCAGUAGAAGUAAGAAGUCCCGCUGCAAUAUGAAUGUUGCUAACCGGACCUAAUUGGGUGAUCUGAUUUUUUUUUUUUUUCUGUCUCAGGCACUCUCUUAUAUUUUGUGAAACUGAUGGUUAUUCUUCACCCGCAUGAACCUGAGAAAAUAGUAGGAUCGGUAUCUCUUUAUGUAGCGUUCGGAUCAACUUCUCGUCAAAGUCAUAUUAGAAUUCUAUUUAAUUUAAUUAGAUGAGAAAUAAAUUAGAUAUACUAUAUGAAGCAGUUUUAUAUAUAUUAGGAUUAAUUGUUAUUUAUAAUAAAUUUAAAUUUGAAUAUGAUUAAUUAUGUCACAUUUGUGGAUGACCAAGGACAUUCUCAUUGGAAUGUGUUUAUGGUUACUAUUCGACUAUUUAUCAUAAAAAAAAUACAUAGAAAAUGGAAGAACUUCAGUUUUUAAUUUACUAGUUCUUUAAAUAAAACAACACAAACAAGAAACUUCAGUUCGAAUGGCACUUAGAAUAGUAAUUUUCACUUGAAUUUAAUACAAUUUGAAACCAAAAUUUUUGGAUUAAAUAGCUUCCAAAUAGUAGUAGUAGUAAGACAUUCAACAGAAACUGGGCCAAACAGGCUGUGUCUUAAAAGACAUCUAACAUUCUAGGCAUUUUUAAAUGUGGAAUUUAAUAAAUUUAUUUUUGAAGAAAAUCCAUAUUUUUAAGAACGAUUUUAAUCCAAUCAUGGAUUGUUAUUGACAAAUCUGAUAUAUUGAAUUUAGUCCCGAUAUUCAUCGGAUUCUUUUUUUUCUUGGAGAGAGAAAUGCGCGCAGUAUGCUAUUCGUUUCGUUCAUUUUUAGAAGUGAAGUCAGUUUAAAAUACGAAGCAACUAAACUUCGAAUUUGAGACUAGUCAAGGAUUAGAAAGUUGAUAGCAAACACGAUUUAUUUACUUGGAUAGUAUUUUAGGAUUAAAACAUACCAAGACCUCCCCAACUAUACGCCAAUUUGAAAUAAUCAACAUUUCUCAACUUCAAUUCAUAUAUUUCAGUUAUUUUAGUUCGAUCCAAUUACUUAAACCUAAAAAUAAUAAUAAUUUUGCAGCUUAACCUUUUAAUUUUAAAAACUUAAACUAUUUGAUGAAAAUCCACCAAUUUCAAGCUUGAUUAUCAUUUUUUUUUUUGUUUUAUAUGACUAUAAUUCUACUAAGUAAAUGAUGAAUCUAAAUUAGAUUUUGUACUGCAAAAAAUCACCGCACGACGUAUUUCAAACAAACUACGGGUUUAGCAUCAAAACCAAAAUUUUUAAAAUUAUAUAAGUUGAAUCAAAACUGACCAUAUUUUAGAUAAAUUCUGCUCAUUUUCACAUUUUUGCCAUUUAACUUAAACCAACCAAAGAGGAUAACUAAAGAGGGGGAAAAAAUGAAAGGAAAAAAAAAAGUUAAAAAAAAAGGUGUGUGCAUGGAUGAAUGAAUUUUCCAUGCAUCUCAUCUUUUGUUCUAACCAUUUUUGGACCAACGCAAAUGAAAGGAUCCAAUGCAGGUUGGGGAAGAUGCGCUGUCCACGUCAGUGGUCCUCAGAGAAAGUGUUACCUGGACCCAGUCCACCACGUCAGCCGAAUUAUCAAUUAUAAUUUGUAACCUUUAAAUCUAAGAAUUAUAAAUUACACAGAUGAAAUCAUUAAGCUUGGCUUAAAUGAUGUUGGGCUAGUGUUAUCAGAAGAAUCAAUAGCUAUGCUGACCAUAUUUUUAAUAAGACAGAAUCGUAGCAGAAAAUUACAGCUUUUGCUUUUUAAAAUUCUGUGUUUUAUCAUUUGCGAAUGUUUUUUAAAAUUUAUUGGAGUUGAUUCUGCAAGCUGUGUAGAAACUGAGAAAGCUAUAUGAGGCCCGUUCGUUGUAGUUAUAAAUGCAUUAACAUUUUGAAAUAAAUAUAAAUUUAAUAUGGAUUUGAUGUAUUUGAAUUCAACUACAUCCAAAUUAGUAGCAUAGUUGAAACUAUACAAAGAGAUUCUAAGAAAUAAAAAAGAACAAUAAUAGUUUAAACAACGCUCAAAUUGGCGGUAAUUUCAACUACAGCAAUUGUAGAGAAUAAACUUAAACGAAAGAUAAACUUACAUAAAAUUAUCUUUUAUAAAGUGUAAUUUUAUUUUCUUAUAUAUAAAAUUGGAUUAAUUUAAUACAGAUUUCUGCAAACAUAGUGAAUGACAAAUAUAUAUCUCUAUAAAGUCAAAUUUUAGAUAUUGUCUCUACAAAAGUCCUGAUGUUUUCUAAUAUAUCCAUUCCGUUAGAAUCCGUUCAUAAAAUUUAGUUAACUAUAGGUUAAAUACUUAACCAUGGUUAGAUUUUGAUAUUUUUAUCUCUUUUUUAUUAUACUGUUAUGAUUUUUGAAGAAACAUAUUUGUGAUGGCGAAAUUACAAAUAUAAACCAUUCUUUAAAGUUUCUCUAAUAGUAACAAAUUAGAGGAAUAUCUUUGAAAAUAUAAGGAGUUUUAUAGAAACAAUAUAUGAAAGUUGAACUUUAUAGGAAUAUUUUUAUUAUUCUAGAUACUAAUAUAAAAUUAACCCUCUAAAAUAAUAAUAUUUAUAAAUAUGUAUUUUUAACUGUACUAUAUCUAUAAAACUAUGUACAGCCAAAUAACCUCUAAUAAAAUUUAGGUCGCCUCAAAAAUAUUGGUCUACGGUGUACCGAGCGCACGCAAUAAAAAUUUUUGCGGUGGCCCCCACACGCAAAGAGAGGCAAAGAGAGGCACGCAAUAAAAAUGCGGUGCAGUGGGGUUAGGGGUGGAAACGAGCCGAGCUCGAGCGAGCUUAUGUCAGCUCAAAUUCGGCUUGAAAUUAAUUUCGAGCCUAAAUCUAGGCUCAAGCUCGGCUUGAAAUUAAUUCGAGCCGAGCUCGAGCGAGCCUAAUUUCGAGUCGAGCCGAGCUCGAGCUCUAAACGAGCCGAUUGAAAUUCUUGACAUUAUAUAAUCAAUAGUUUAAUUUUUAUAGAACAUUACCUACAAUUUGAUGCAACAUGUCUAAUAGUUCAAAAUGCAAAAUAAUUGCAAGAAAUGUGAGCUAGGGUGACUGCCUGACUGGGUGAGGGUCUGAGGGAGAAUGAGAGAGAGAGAGAGAGGGGAAAAAAAAUAGGGAUUUGGAAAUUUGAAUGUUAUCAUGUUUUAGGGUUAUGUGCAACAGUGAAAGCCUGAAAGAGAGUGUGUUAGGUAAAUUUAGAGUUGGGCUCAAUUGCAUGGUUGUACUUGUUGGGUUUAUUUUAUGCGUCAACAAUAAUGGCCCAAAUUAAAUUAAAGCCUAUAUAUAAUUAAAAUACAUUAUAUAUAUAUAUAUAUAUUCGAGCUUUUUGAGCUUUUCGAGCCUAAUUCGAACGAGCUGAGUAAUACUCAAGCUCGGCUCAUUUAAUUUCGAGUCGAGCUCGAGUGAGCCGAAUAUCGAGCCGAACACGAGUCGAACGCGAGCCGGCUCGCUCGUUUGCCAGCCCUAGUCUAUAGCACUACUUUUAGUAACUUGGCUUUAGCAUGUAUAGAAAGUACGGAUCAAGCAUGUAAAAAUGUAGUAUGUUAUACUUUGUUGUUAUCUUGAUAUUAUAGUUAACAAAGAACAUGAAUCAAGCUACCUACUUAUGGGGUUUAUUAAGUCUCUUAAGCUAUGACGGCUUCCAACAGUAUAAUUCUUCAGUUUCGAUAAUCGGAUGUUAUAAAUCUUGUUUAACUUUUUCGAUUUUCAUUGUAAAUAAAUAUAGAUCGCUGAUCUUUGAUCUUAACUAAAAAAUUUAAAGGUGUACGACUCACACACAACACUUGCUGUGAGUUUUCUUUAUAUCCUUCAUACCUGUUGAAGAUAUGAGAAUAUUUGAUUUUUUCUCACCAGUAAUCACAGAAAUUUUUGCUAUCAUUUCUUCUGCAAUAUACUGUUACCCCUGACGAUGGAACAUGGCUGAUUUCGAUGCCUUUCUGGCAAUUUAGGGACUCCGCUUCACACUGCUGCCAAAGAGAGGAACAAGAAAGCCAUAAAAUUCCUGUUGGAGAACGGCGCGUUCUUGCCCCCUAACAUCGACGACCAACGCUUCAACCCGCCUCUCCACUACUGCCCGGGCCUCGAUUGGGCCUACGAGAUAAAGUGCCUGCAUGACGAUGGCCCGUCUGGCGAAACUUCUUGCAGUUCCGAGAGCUAAGUGAGUACCGAAACCGCCCACCCUUGGUGCUUCUAUCAUAGUAAUGUUGUCUGUGAAAGAACUCUCGAUGAUCGUUAUGUUUGUUCUCAAAUGGCUUGCUUGUCGGUAUUUCUGUGCCUUACCGGACACCUUUAGGGUUUCUACUCUGUAGAAAUAUUGUGCCUUCUUCUGUUUGCCUGUGUUUUAGCUGAGAAUGCUGCUGAUCAAGACAUUUAUUCUUAUGCUUGCUAUGUAUUUGUUGUUCUCGUAAAUGAUGAACUGAUAAAUAAAUAAUUAUUCAUGGAUUUGUUCCUAAAAUUUAUUUCUUUUAUUUCUGGACCAAAAUAAAAGGCAUACUUUUGUCAAGUUUCACAUUGGGUUUUUUUAUGUUUGUACAUAACAGAGUUUUCUGGUAACACUAAAUUUGAAUGCAGUAAAUUUCAAAGCAUCAAGAGGGUUUUUUUUUUUUUUUUUUUUUUUUUUUUUUUUUUUUUUUUUUUUUUUUUUUUUUUUUUUUUUUUUUUUUUUUUUUUUUUUUUUUUUUUUUUUUUUUUU